AUUUGUGAUCUAAAAAUAAUUAAAUAUACUUCAAGUUAUAUAUUUCUCCAUAUUAUUAAUUAAUCAUAAUGACUCGUGAGGAGCUGCUCUCGAGAAAGGCGUCGCGUAAUUGUCACGGCCAAGACUCCUCGUACUUCUUAGGGUGGCAAGAAUACGAGAAGAACCCUUACCACCCUACCACCAACCCUGCUGGGAUCAUCCAAAUGGGUCUUGCUGAGAACCAGGUUGAUUACUAAUUAAUGAGUUCAUAAUCGAUCGUUUCUUUAAUUUCUUGUAUAUGUAUUUUAAUGCGACGUACGUAGUAAGUAAUGUUAAUGAUCGAUCACCUGUAUGUAUGUAUAUCUUGCGUUGUGGUCCAGCUUUCCUUUGAUCUCGUCGAGUCCUGGCUCGAGGGACACCCCGACGCCGGCGAGCUCAAGAGGGACGGCGUCUCCGUCUUCCGAGAGCUCGCGCUCUUCCAGGAUUAUCAUGGCCUACCUGCAUUCAAGAAUGUAUGUAUAUAUAUGCACCUUCCAUCUCCUGAAUAUGUGCACAUUUGUAUACAAAUGUUAAAGAUGCACGUAGAUGUCGGCAACUCAAUUGAAUGUACGUUAAUUGCAGGCUCUGGCGCAGCUCAUGGAAGAGAUAAGAGGAAACGAAGUAAGAUUCGACCCUGCUAAGCUUGUCCUCACCGCAGGCGCUACUUCCGCCAACGAGAUCCUUAUGUUUUGCCUCGCUGAACCCGGCGAAGCAUUCCUCGUGCCAACCCCAUACUAUCCAGGGCACGUACUUAUCCAUUAUCACUUGCGAUCAUUCUCCUUGUUUUUUUUUUUUAAAAAAAAAAAAUUUCCUUGUUUCCUUUGUCCACAUGACAAAAUAUAUAUGUAAAUGCCUCUAAUACAUGAAAAUCGUUAACAUCAUACAUCGAUCGUUGCAGUUUCGAUAGGGAUCUCAAAUGGCGAACGGGAGUGGAGAUCGUCCCGAUACGCUGCUCAAGCUCAAAUGGCUUUAAAAUCACGAAAAUGGCCCUCAACGCCGCUUAUCGACGGGCCCAAAAGCAUGAUCUUCGGGUGAAGGGAGUCUUAGUAACCAACCCUUCGAACCCGUUGGGCACAACCAUGAGCUACGACGAGAUCGACACCCUGCUUGAUUUUGUUGCAUCCAAAGAUAUCCACCUCAUCAGUGACGAGAUUUAUUCCGGGACCAACUUUGGUUCUCCGCCAUUCAUUAGCAUGGCGCAGGCGGUAUCAGGUCGAGCCAACAUCCUGGCCCGCGUCCACAUUGUGGUCAGUCUCUCCAAAGACCUCGGCCUCCCUGGGUUUCGUGUUGGCGCGAUCCACUCCAACAAUGAAUCGGUGGUGUCCGCAGCCACGAAAAUGUCGAGCUUCGGUCUCAUCUCCUCGCAAACUCAAUACCUCCUCUCUCAACUUCUCUCCGACAAAGCAUUCACUGCGAACUACAUAAGAGAGAACACGAAAAGGCUCAAACGGCGGCAUUCGCUGCUCGUCAAAGGGCUAGAAAGCAUCGGAAUCAGUUGUCUAAAGAGCAACUCAGGGUUAUUUUGUUGGGUGGACAUGCGGCAUUUGCUUAACUCUAGCACAUUCGAGGGAGAAAUGGAGACGUGGAAGAAGAUAGUGUAUGAUGUGGGGUUAAACAUCUCUCCAGGCUCGUCGUGCCACUGCGACGAGCCCGGGUGGUUCCGCAUGUGCUUUGCUAACAUGUCGGAGGAGACGCUCCACGUCGCCAUGAAGAGGUUGAAGGAAUUUGUCGCAGAGGGGAAUGGUAACGGCGGAAAUAGCUGUGGCAGAAGCAGAAGCAAAAGCGAAACCAAAAUGACGAAGUGGGUGCUUCAAUCAUCAAAUGCUGAUGCUACUAAUGGCAAAUCUGAGAGAUUUAUUAUGUGUGUAAAUGCAUGAAGAAGCUUUACGUAACGUUUUUUUUUCCUUUUUCGGUUUGAUUUGUUUGAGCAAUAUUUGUUUUUUUUUGUUUUUUGUUUUGUUUUGUUUUGUUUUGUUUUUUUUUUUUUUCAACUUGGAGUUAGCAUAUCCACUCACUUUGUGGAUGAGUACCCAAGGAUUUCGUGUUGCAUGCAAAUUCCUACGUUUUUUGGCUGAGAAUUUAAGUUCCGGAUGUUUUGUCAAAAUAUUUAUUCAGUCAUUGUCUAAAGUCAAAAACACUGUGGUCACCUUCCUUCCUUAUGGUACCGUUUGGUUCGGGUAUAAGCAAGAACUAGCUAUUACAGGGAUAGGUACAAAUAUGGGGAUAAGAAAAAUAGCGUUUGGAUGAAAAUUAGGUUGUUCCCGAGGAUAAGAAAAAUAUUAGAAAGUUUUAUAUAGAAAAUAGAGGUGUUGGUGGGGAUAACCGAGAACUACUAUUCUCGGGUAAAAAAUUAGCGUUUGGGUAUAAAGGGGGGAUAAGGGCCUAUCCCUAUCCCUAUUCCCAAAUAAAAUGUUUUAUUCAAACCAAAUAAAAUAAACUAGCUUUAACGCGGCUACACAUUCAAUGCUAAAUUUUAUAAACAUUUUGGGACUUUCAUACUAAAAAAAAAAAGAGUUGACAAAAUAAGAGAGCAAUAUGGGCUUUGAAACGGAGUGUAAGAUUCACACCUUAUUUUAUAAUAUACACUAUAAUAAAUUUUAUAUUUAAGGAUACUUUAAAUAAUAACUAGCGACGCUUUAAAGCGUCAGCAAGAAUAACCCGAUACUUUAAUAUAGAGUCGAAAAUUUUUUAUUAGCAUUUGAUAAAAAUAUAUUUAUUGGCGAAGUUUAAUUAUGAUGUCAGUAUAUAUUAAAUAUUAAAGACGUUAGAAUAAAGUGUCGUUUAAAAAAUAUCAUCUAAAAUAUAUUUUAUUGAAGUGACAGAUAGCAUUGCUUAUUUUAUAAUAAUCUUUUAACCAACAAAAUGAAAUUAAACUACUCUAAGGUACGUAUUACACUCAAUAAUUAUUUAUUUGAGACCUAACAAAAUCAUUCAACAUAAUUAUCACUAAAGAAUAUGUAAGUGCAUGAAGUGACUUGUUAGUUCUUUUCCCAACAACUAAAGCAUAUCUUUCAACUUGCUUCUUCAACUCUUUAUAAUGCAUUGACACUUGUUAAAAGCAAAAGAUAUUUUGACUGCUUAAUAAGUGUUUACCCAAUCACAAAUUGUAUCCAUUUAAGUCACCCUCGGAAGGCACUACAUUAUUCGAAUAAUUAUAAUUAAGAACCUCACUUCAUGUUAAUUGGAUCUUUAUUUAUUUACAAUUUAUUAGGGACAAGAUUUGACACGUGCCAAACUUUUGGUUCAAGUGAAACCAACGGUUCCAAAUUUGACAUGACUGCAAAAUUGGUGCCAAUUACGGCGCAUGCUUAAUUUAUUCCUUAUCAUGUAUAAGCAUGGCAGGGGAUCAUCAUCUCACACGUGUCUUGCGCACUUCCACUUUUGUUAGCUCAUCAAUAGGACAAUUUUGCUCGGUCAUUGGAUAAUCAUCCUAGCUUAUUAUUAGUUUAGGCCAAUUUGCACUACUGAUUUAGCAUUUUUGCAAAUAUAUACUAUUUGUUAAUUUUUAGGGAUUCUGUCUAAAUUUCUAGUAAACUGAUCAAAUUGCUCUUAUUCUUUCUUCUCUCUCUUUUCUUUUUCUCGGCGUCUCCCUCCACCUCCUUUGCCACUCUUUUCUCUCUUUCUUUUCCCGCUUCCUCACUCUCGAUACCUAUCGACAACGGUGCAAUUUCAGAAUGAUGUCAAUGCGAUGCAUCAAUCCCUUCUUUCUCUUUUACGCCACUCCCGCUGAUACCUACCGCCUCCGGAAGCGAGGUGCCGGUCUUUCCGUUCCUCGGCUUUGGCAUGCACGACCUCCCCGGCGUCAUUGCUCAUCCUCCAUCGUGGAGCAAGGAGGUGCAUGCGCGUUCGACGACCUCAACCUUACCCGCGACACCAGAGAGACGACCUAUUUGACGAUGAUGACGAUGAUGACGAUGAUGACUAAGUUACACCGUUUGAAACUAAAUUAUACUAUUUGAGAUUAAGUUGUGCAAUUAAAAUUUAUUUGAGACUAAGUUGUACUAUUUAAUACUUAGCUGUGCGAUUUGAAAUGUUGCACAAAUAGUGCAAUUUUGUAUCAACAAAUGUACUUAAUUAGUUUGAAAUAGUAAAAUUUAGUCUUAAAUUAAUAGUGUAACUAUUUUUUUCUUCUCUUUUUGGAAUUGUACUGCUAGUAUUUUUCUAAUCAAUUUCAUCCUUUAUUUUACUACUCUCCUAAUUUUUCUAAUUAAUUAACAAUAUUUCAAUUGAGAGGAAGAUGGCUAUAAUAAAUUGAAAGAAUAUGCAACAUGCUGCUCAUUAACUCUAUUUGAUUACUUUUUAUUAAUGGUAUCUUUUUAAGUAAUGGUAGACUAACAUUUUUUUUUUUUAAACCACUUCAUUCUUUUUUUUUUCAUAAAUAAAUUUAGCUAAAAAUAUGAAGUAAUUGGGCUUUGAGUUUGGGAUCUCAAAUAUUAACCACUCAGUCCUUCGUCACUUACACUUGGGAUGGUCUGUUACCAACCAUUUCACAGUCUCACUCGCACUAGAGUUUGACUUGUCUACUAUUAAUAGCAUGGACCGAGGUCUCCGUAUUACCAAAUUAUUUUUAAUGAUAGAACGUACGAAUCGACGAUCGGCUCUAUUACACAUGAUUUACACUAUUAAAAGUAUUUAGAAAUUAAAUUUUCAUAUCUUUCGACAUUAAUUUGAUUAAUGAUUUAAAGAUAUGAAAAUCGACAAUUUUAAUAGUUAAUGUAAUGCAUGUGUAAAUUUAAUGAUGUAGAACAAUCCAAAUGCAAUAAAAUUUUGAUAAUUUUUUUUUACUAAUCAAAAAAAGAUUAGUACCUUCAAUUUGAAAUUUAAAUAUUUUUUUAAUAUUUUUAAUGAGAUUUUUAUUUUACCUGUUUAUUUUGAGACUAUUCAUUCUAUAUAUAAAUGAUAUUGAAAAAUAAUAAAUAUUAUUUUUUAGAUACUUCUAAUGGUGUAGAUUAUUUUCAAUAGAACCUACUGUCGAUUCAAAUGUCCCAUCAUCAAAAAUAAUUUAUAGCACAAAGGCCUUCGUCUAGUAUACUACCCGGAUUCCAAUAUUAUAUAAGUUUUUUUUUUUUUUUAAGAGAUAGGUAGCACGUUACCCGCUUCUUUUAUUUCAUUUUAGAAAUAAACUUAGCUAAAAAUAUGAAUCAACUAGGAUUCGAACUUGGGACCUUGGGUACCAAUCAGCAAGUUUUUCAUUUUAGAAAUAAACUUAGCUAGAAAUGUGAAUCAAUUAGGAUUCGAACUUGGGAUCUUGGGUACCAACCGGCAAGUAUUUCAUUUUAGAAAUAAACUUAGCUAGAAAUGUGAAUCAAUUAUGAUUCGAACUUAAGAUCUUAGGUACCAACCACCAAGCCCUUUGCCACUUGCUCUAGGAACGGCUAGUUCCAACUUAUUAAGUUAUUUUCUAGUUUUGUGAUAUCUAACAUGUCAGCCAAAAAUGAACAAUUAAAAUAAAAACUAAAAUCCUGUCCAUUUACUCGGGUUGUUUGCUGGUGUGUUAGUAAAGUAAAAUACAGAGCAUUUUCCUAAGGUGGCAGAGAAGUUGGAAGAUUAUUUUCUUAACUAAAACAAUUAAAAUGAGUUGCAAAGCAGUAAGUGUCUACUGAUCAUUGCUUCUUUAUGAUCCAAACAAACUUCCCAUAGAAGAAAUAUGCUCAGGGAUGCAGAUGGAUUUGGGGUGAUGAAUCUUCCCCCUUGAUCAGCCUCAAAUAGGGUGAUAAAUUAGGCAAAAAUAAAUAGAUAAAUAAAACAAUAAUUUGUCUCAAUUCACUUAAGGGUGUGUUUGGUUUAGGUAUAAGGAGGGAAUAAGUCUUUAUUCCCCUCUUUAACACUAUUUUUGUGCUAAAAAAAUUUUGUUCUCCAUGAUUAGGUAAAAAAAAGAGAAUAAGAGUGGAACUACUAUAUAUAAGAUAUAAUAGGGCUAAAACUCUUAACUCAGCUUAACUAUUUUGGGUGGUGGCUAAGCUUAAGUAGUUAAGAGAGUUAAACGUGUUAGGACGGGAGUAGUCCUAGCAUAGGCGAUCCCCUAGGAAGUUGGGGCGUCACAGUUGGUAUUAGAGCAAAUUACCAGCCGAAAGUGUGAGAUGAGUUUUGACUGAGUCAGGAUUAUACAGCGGGGAAAACGAUGCUCUCAUACUAUUAACUGUUGUGCGUGAAACGCAACUCACCAAAAGAUCAGUUUAAGCUAACAAGACGAGUCUCACAUCAUCUGAUACUUGUAACUCUGAGUCUGACGAGGACUCCAGGACUUAUGGGGGGAGAAUGUGAAGCUCCAUGUAGUUAUAUAUAUAAGAUGUAAUAAGGUUAAAACUCUUAACCCAGCUUAAGCAUUUUGGGUGGUAGUUAGGCCUAAAAUGUUAAGAGAGUUAAACGUGCUAGAACGGGAGUAGUCCUAGAAUGGGUAGCCCCCUGAAAAAUUGGAGCGUUACAAAUUUAGUCUCAAAUAGUUUUAAAUGGUGCAACUCUGUCUCAAACAAUGUAACUUUUUCUUCUUUUUUCUCUACCUUUUACUUUUUCUAUUACGAUCACGACACACGAUGGCCUUCCCAAAGAAAGAAAAAAUAUUUUUUUCUUUAUUUUUAAAUUCUUUGUUCUCUUCCACCCUUUGUAUUCUUUUUUGCUACUGCGUCCCUUUCCUUGCGUUUUGUCGUAGCAACCGUUCCUGCCCCGAUGCGCUUUCCCUCUCUAUUAUCCUCAAAUCCUACAACACCCUCGUCGUUGUCACCGUCGCCGUCUACGCCACGCCCUCUGUCUACCUCACCUCCACGAUUUGUACUAUAUCCGAGCCCACGUCAUCACCAUCAGAGUCAGAAGAGGUGUGGGCGAGAUAGGAAAAAGAAGCACAGUGUCAAUGUGGGGCCGGUGGAAGAAAAGGAGGAUGGAGAGGGCGGGAAAGGAAAAAGAGAGGAAGGGACGGUGAGGGGGAGAAAAACAAAGUGAAAGGAGAACGACGAGCUAGAAAGAAAGUGAAAUAAGAAUAUUUUGAACAAUUUACUGAAUUUUCAGACUUAAUCUAUAAAAUAAAAAAAAUAUACUAUUUUUAUAAAAAAUGCAAAACCGGAUUUAUUAUGCAAGUUGGCCAUCAUAUAUUUCUUCGUUAUUUAUUUAACAAUAUGACACUGAUAUUAAUUAACAAAUGCUAUUAAUUAGCCAAUGCCAAAUUGCUAUUAGAAUAUUAUUUUUCUAUUUUGACCUUUCAAAGAAGCUGGAUAUAAGGAUGCUUUUCCUUGAUUGAGAGUACAAUUCUGAACCAAUUAAAAAAAAAGAAAAAAGAUGGAUUGCCAUGUAUAACAAAACAUAAAUUCCCCUUUUAAGCAAAAAGCACAUUUAUAACUCUUAAAACUAGAUUUUAUUGGAUAGAUACUCCCAGGCCUACCACAUUAUAUAUACCCUAAUGUUUUGGGGCAAAAUGUGGACUCCAACAUGACCAAGGGAAUCUUCUAAUUAAUUUCAUGCUUUUCACUUUAGAUCUACUUUCUAAUCACUACAUAUAUACUAGACCAAGCUUGAGUCUUAAUCAUUUCCUCUCUAAGGAACACAUUUUUCUUAGAUUAAGGAUAUCAUACCUCAGAUGAUUGUGGCCACGGCAGAGUCGAGAGAACGGCGGAAUCAGUUCCGGUAGUCGGCGGUGGCUUGCCCUGCCGCCGCAGGCCGCCGUCGACGGUACUUUACAGGCCUCAUGAGUUAUUUUAUGCAGCUGAGCAGUCAUUUUCAAUGAAGAGUUCGCUUCCUUAUCAAGCGUUUGCUUGCAGUUUGUAGAACGCAUUUUUCCUCUGCUCUGUAUGCCUCUCUUUUGUAGUAGAGCUUGUAGUAUCUUUAGCACUACUUUUUACACAUAAAAGAAAAUAUGGUAACAUCUCGCAGAUCAGUCUAGAUCACAUAACAAUUACACAUAUGUACGACCAGUACGUAGGUGAAUAUUCUCUCAGAAUAGGGAUUAAUUAUUGACGUUAUAAAAGCUUAAUUAUAAAGUGAAAACGUAUAGAACUUAUUUGAACGCAUAGAACUUAUUUGAACGUUAGACCGUUUUGAGUCCACUACUUAGUUUUACUGAAUUUAUAUUUACAAUUGCAUGAAGUAUAGUAAUUAAUCUGUAAAAAUAAACGUUUGCAUUCAAAAUUUAAAAUCAGAGUGUCGUUCAAUGACUCAAAUCAGAUAAAUUGAAUGAUUGGAUAGCAAAAUUAAAAUUUUGAAAGAUUGAUUAGUCGAUUUAAAAUGGUGCAUAAUUUAGACCUAGUUAUAAAAAAUGCUCCUGCACUUUACCCCAUGUCUCAACUACUUUUCUGCCUAAAAAAUUUAAACAAUGUCAACCCUCUAUUUUAGUUCUAUCUCAAACAGAUCCUUUCGUUAAGAAUUUUCAUUAAUUUUAACGGUGACAUGUUAAGAUAGCAUAUUUUUAAGCCAUUUAAGCUUCUUCAAGCACAUCGUCGAGCAUCAAAAUCUAAGAGAAAUCCUGGAAAUGCACACGCGUACGAGAAAUUCGACAUUUUAAUGUCAAAUGAUCUUGCCACGUCAUUACUGUUAAUACUUUCAUCAAAGGUUAACAACAUUUCCAAAUUAUUGGACCUAUCACCUAUUUGACACAAAAUUAAUUAUUACACGUGCCUCGAAAUUUGAUUAUCAAGUUCGAUUUUAUGCUCGGAUUCGCCGAAAGUUUUGCGGUGUGAUAAAUUUCGAAAAACAAUUUGUAAAUGAAAAAGAGGAUGUUUGUAGUGAGAGGGAAUGUCUUUGGAUUGGAUCGGAUUUUGAAGAUAACCCGUUAAUAGUUUUUCUUUAAAAUCCUUAUGUUCUAUCUUUUUUUUACUAUUUUAUGAUUUGUUUACUUUGCGACCGUCAUUUUUUAUUUUUAUUUGUGCGCUCGUUGUAAUGCUAAUAUAUGCGGUUGAUAGUAUUUAAAUUUUUACCCAAAAAAAUAUUUGAAACAUAAGGUAAAGUAGGUACAUGAGGACUUUUUUUUGUAAGUAAACCAAAUAGAAANAUAUAUAUCAAAGUGGGAUUUGAUUGGAUUGAUCCGAAGUUAUCUGUACUUUUAGUUUUAAGAGAGAAAAAUAGUAUGUUAUCUAUUUCGUUUAUAUAGAAUGUUGAUAGGGACCAUUCUGAAGUUGUCUAUGUUGAUUAGAUCUUUUGAUUUUUUUUUUUUUAAAUUUUUCAUGGAUUAAUCUAAUCCGAAGAUCACUCCCAAAACCAGGAUAAUUAAUCCUAGGCUCAACGAAAUGCAUGCCGAUGAGUCCAUAAGCAAAAGUGCCUAUUAUUUAUGACUCAUAAUCAGAAUUUUUUAAUUUGAAGUUUUUAAUUUUAUUUUUAAAACAAAAUAUUAGCUUGAAAAAAAAAAAAGGUUAAUUAAUAUAAUUUUCUGUAAUAACGUCUAACCGCACUAUAGUUGGAGCACUACUUUAUUGAGGAGUUCAUCAGCAAAAUCUUGUUGGGAAAGUAUGUUGAGCCGUUCGAUUCACUCAGUGCUCAACGCUUAAUAUUCUAUUCAAAUCUAAAAGUUUUUCUUUUGAAUCUUAAUAUCAUAUUAGAUGGUGAAUUUAGAAGAGCUCGCUAAAAAUUUCUCAUAUUUUAAAAAAAUUAAGCGUAGACAAAUCAUACGGUUCACCAGACUGUUUUAAUGAUCGAUAUUUCGUUAAAGAUCUCCUCGAGGAAGCUGAAGUUGCUCUUAAUUCGCUCUUCGUCAUGCUCUCCCUGUAGUUGUGACAGAAAGGUCGAAGAAUACGAGCACAUGCGGUGGCCAAUGCCGACCAGCUCCUACGGCGAAAGAUUUCGACUGAAAGUCGACCUGAAAGAGAUGCAGCAGCAGAGUGCACUAGAAACGGUGGCGGCUGAAAUGGAGACUAAACAAAUUUACAGCAGGAGCGCAGGUUAACUUGCCCUUUUGCCAAAAUGGUGUAUUUAUGAGGGGGAGCCCAUACAACUAUUACUAGGUUUACUAUGUCAGUAUCUACUGUAAAUGCUUGUCUAUAGAUCGCAAAGUGGAUUCUGGGAGUGUUGGUCUAAUGUGGAAGUGGAUGACGGGGUCAGGGUAUCAUCGAAUUAUUCGACUAAAACACCAAUCCACUUUAGCUUAGGAGGGAACAGUCGUUUGGAUUCUGCAAAUGAACUCAAUUAUCGCUUUACUUAAAGUCGAUUAGGCCCAUCCAGCCUAAUUAACCCAUUUGGUAAUUUGGAGGUUGUGGAAUCAAUCAACCCGUAGAAACAGUCCAUGGGCGCCCUAAUCACUUUUCAGGCUAAGCUCAAAUUUAAGUGGGCUUGGGCCAAACCACAUUUUGUAGGAUUUUUUUAAAAUUAUUUUUUCAAUUUUGGAAAAUUUUUUUUCAAAUUUAAACUUUUAGUAACCUUUAUUACCAGCCCCUUAACCUUUAUUACCAGCUUCUCAAGUAAAAUUAGUUUUGAUUGAUACAUCUUAUAUCAACUAAAUUAAAGGUUUUGCUAAAUUCAAUUGUAAUUUUGUUAAAAUUUAUUUGUUCUAGAUACCUUUCAAGCUGGUGGAGUUGUGUGUGUGUAUAUAUUUAUUUGUAUCUAAAAAUCAAAUUUUAUGUUUUUUUGAUAUUGUUCUCUUGUCCAUCAAGUGGACACAAAAAUGAACGGCUGAAAUUGAACAUCCUUUAAAAAGUGAUGAUAGAAAUCUUGUAAUCAAAAUCAAGAGUAUAUAUAUCUUAUUUUUAAAUAGCUAAAGAAUUUUCUAACCAAAAUUCAAUUGAUUUAGAUAGUUUUUACGCCGUUAAACGAUAAACGCUUCAUAUGGCUAUUAAAAUUAUAAAUUUUGAAACCCUUUAAUUAUUGAGUCAAUGCUGUUGAAAAAAAUUAAAAUUUAGUUUUUAAAUCUUCAAUUGGUAUAGAUUAUAUUCAACCGUGCUGAUUGUUAAUUUGGAGACUUUUAUAAUCGAAAAUAAAUAGGCGGCAAUGGAGUCCGUUUGCUACUGAUAACAUACCAGCUCAGCUCUUUCUCUCUCUAUAUAUAUAUAGCAAAUGAGGACCAUUAAUUAAUAUGAAUGGACUAUCAAAUUAGCUUAGGAAAUUAAGCUAAAUCAAAUGGUGAUAUUUUAGUUGGAUUUAUAAAAUAUUACCACUGCUACAAUAAUUUUUUUCCCCCAACCAAACACUUAAAUGGCUACUGGCUUGACUUAAUUAUAACUUGGUUGACUAGCCGUUGUUUGGUACAGCAACCACAAUAUUCCAAUUGGAACGAUAAAAAAUGAUUGGUAACAGAGAUUGGAUGGUUGGCCACCACAUGAUCCAGUGAGAUUUCAUGAUUAGGUUGUAAGAUCCCAUCCAUAAAUACAUAUAUAGUUUAUGUUUGUAAGGGCUAAUAUAAAGGAGACAAAAGCUAGAUGUAUAAAAAUAAGGGUAAACUUCAAAUACCCCCUAUGGUUUCACACUUUCUUACUUUAGUAUUUUAUGGUUUAAAGUGUAUCAUAUUAGCCCCUAUGGUUCCGUACUUUCUCACUUUAGUAUCAUAUAGUUUAAAGUGUAUAAAGCUAGUACCCUGUGGUUUUAUUUUUCUCUUUUUAUUAUCUAUUUUACUAAUUUUUCUCGUUAAAUCAAUGGCAAAGUUAAAAUUAAAAGGUACUAAAGUGAAUAUUCGAUAAACCUAAGUAAGAUAUCUAAAGUUUUUUGUAUAUAAUUUAACAAAAUAUUAACGGAAGAAAAAAAAAAUCAGUGAUAAAGUUAAAAUGAAAGGACACUAAAGUAAAUAUUUGAUAAAUGUAGAUAGGAUAUCUAAAGUUUUUUGUAUAUAAUUUAAUGAAAUAUUAAGAGAGGAGCCGACGAAAAAAAAAAAAAAGAAACCAUAGAGUAGUAAAUUGAUGCACUUUAAAUCACAUGGUACUAAAGUGAGUAAGUGCGAAACCACAAGAUAGUAAAUUGAUACACUUUAAACCACAGAAUACCAAAAUAAAAAAGUGUGAAACCCAAGUUGUAAAGAGCUUGGUGGUUGGUACCCGAGACCCAAGUUCGAAUCCUAGUUGAUUCACAUUUCUAGCUAAGUUUAUUUCUAAAUGAAAUAAACGAAUCAGAUAGCGUGCUACCUAUCUCUCAAAAAAAAGUGUGAAACUAUAUGGAUGGUAUUUAAAGUUUUUUCUAAAAAUAAAGAUGCAAGCCUCCUAUAAUUUCCUGGGGUUGUAGACAAAUAUCUGUUUUUUUUUUGAGAGAGAGAAAACAAAUAUCUGUUUUGUCCCUUUCUUAGAUAGGAAGAGAAAGAGAACUUGAAAAUGUAUAUGUUAGUGAUGUUUGCACCUUCAUCAUUCCUUCCAACCAUUUGUCUUAAUUUAUUUGAGGAGAUAUAUCAUAUCAGUUGCAUCAGCAAGCAAAUUCAAAACACUCUCUCUCUCUCUCUCUCUCUCUUAAGGGGAAAUAAGGUCAAUUUUCUCUCUCUCUCUCUUUUAAGGGGAAAUAAGGUCAAUUUUGUCUCCAACAUGGUCAAAUAAGGAAGCUUUGAAGGUGCAUGAUGUGAUAAAGACCAAGGCCACGUUGAGAGAGAAAAAGCACAAUGACGAAAAUAGAGAGAUACAUAAAGAAUUAAUUUUUCGACAAAGAUGAAAAUGCUUUUUUAAACAACUCUCAAAACUUUUUAUAUUAACCGAACGCGGCGUCUGUAUAAAAGCAAAACACAAAUCCAAUUGUAAAUCGAAUCCCAAAAUUUUAGCAAUUUUUGUCAAUACAAAAUAUACCAUAUCCUAAUUUAAAACUUCUAAAACCGUAUUCCUAAUUUCUAAAAAUUUAUUUCUCAUAGUAAAAACCUUAAAAAUCUAAAAUAUCACUAAAACAAAAUGAUCAAAAAUCAAAAUCCGAGAAUUUAAAAAAGAAUUAAUCCUAACUAUUUAUUUUGAUUGCGUGAUCUAUGUUGAAAGAGAUGGGUAGAGGAGUUCACAGGGGCUUUAUUUACUUCUUUUGCUGCAGAAAAAGCACAAGCUGGAAUACAAUAGUUAAGCACAAGAGAGUAUUUGGAAGCACAUGUAAAUGAGACAAGAACACCAUGUGAAGAAGCAAAGACACAGCUGGCGCUCUUCCGGAUGUUUUUUUUUUUUUUUUUUGACUAAAUUAUAAAAAAAAUUUCGAUCAAUACUUACUUUUUUAUUUUUUUCCUCUAUCAUUUAAAAAAUUAUAUUUUAUUCUUUUAAAAAAUAAAAAAUAUUCGUAAGGAGAUAUGCUGUGAUAAAUAAUCAAAUUACUCGUAUUUUUCGGGAUGGACGUGGACGAAAAGGUGGGUGAGGGCGAGACAACGGAGGGCGUGUGUGUAGGCAUGGACAAAGAGGUGGGCGAGAGUGAGGCGGCGGAGAGUGAGGCUGCACGGCCAAGGGUGAGGCAGCGCUGCGAGGAUGAGGAAUAAGGAGAGUUUUAGAAAUAUUUUGAGUAUAAAAAAAAUAUAUAAACGGAAUCCUAACGAAAUAUUGACGGCUGGAUCAAAGUGGAUAUUUUUUUUUUUUUAACAAAGUAAAGUGUAGAUUUUUGAAUGACAUUGGAUAAAAUAAAAAAAUAGUUAUUAGCGAAAGAUUUUUUUUUUGUAAUUUAUCUUUUUUUUUUUCUUCUUUCCUUUUUUUUUUCUGGGGUCUCUGAAAUUAAUUUCAUUUUGCGAGAGAGAGAGAGAGAGAGAGAGAGAGAGAGAGAGAGCAUCCAUGUAGGAUUGCAGGUUUGGAUGACCACUAUUUAUCUAAUCUUUUGUGAGAAAUAGUACAUGAUUCACGUGGUUGGAACAAAUCCAGCAAGCUAUAAAUUAACAUAUUUGUUGAAACCUACUCAAUUUAAAAGUUAAAGUACGAAGGCUCUAGGCCAUGUUGUAAUGUUGGGUUAAUUUUGUACCGGCUUUCCGUAAACAUAUCCCAUGACAAAUAUUGUACCGGCUUUCCGUAAACAUAUCCCAUGACAAAUAAAAAUAAUAGAAAAUAAGUAAAAUAAUAUUUUUGUCAACUGCUAGAAUUAUAUAGAAAUAUUCCCGCUAGCAAUAAUAAUUCAAUGGGCCCAAACAACCGACCUAUAAUACUUAAACCCAAUUAUUAUUACUAGCGUGCAAGGCCUCAUAUAAACUAAUCGGAAUCAAUAUCCCAUUCGAUGUGGGAUUAUUGGAGGCAUUACAAACUCUCCCUAUUUAGACAGACAGAUCAAAAUCAGAAUUACCAGGCGAUGUGAGAUUCUAGAAAUGAUUCCUAUGGGUUCAAGAGGUGGCUCCCACCAAACCCAUUGGUGUAGCACUUUGUCCCGCAUAAUACUUAGCUCUCACAUUUCCGGCUGAUAUUCGGCUCUGAUACCAAAUAUAACGAUCCGACCCGCUAGCAACAAUAAAUCGUUAGGCCCAAACAACCAGACCAAAAUACAUAAGCCUAAUUAUUAUUACAAGCAUGUAGACCUCAUAUAAACGGAUCGGAAUCAGUAUCGCAUCCGAAGUGGGGCUAUUGGAGCAUUACAAAUAAUAUAAAAAGACUAAAAAGAUUAAUUUAUCUCAUUUACUUAUUAGGAUUAAAUAUUUUAUCUAUAAUUAAUCAUAUUUUUCUAGCGAAUCCUAAUAGCGAGUAUAUUUAAAUAUGAAAAAUUAAACUUUGUAAGAAUAUAUUUGCUAUUCGAUAUGUUUACAUAGAGCUGUGUGUUUACUAGUUAGACAUUUCCGCUUCUUGAACUGAUCUCGGCUCUCCAAACAUUGUAGCAUCGAAAAUCAUCAUUUAUGACUGUUCUUUGAUACACACUAUGUAUAUAAGUUCUUAAUCAGCCACUGCAAAUCGACUUAUCUAACUCGUGUGUCAAACUUGCACCUCCUUUCCCUAAUUAACCUCUAUAAUAUCCAUGUUGCCAGAAUAAUCCUCUAUGAAUCCAUUAUAUUCACAAAAGCUACACAAUUAAUCGCACUAGACCAAUCAGAAGCAUAACUCACGAUCUUGAAACCAAUUAUUGGAAACAACGACCUAAUCGAACUCACAUGAACCAUUAGAUGAAAAAUUAUAGGGUUAGAAUGAUAGUAAUCUCGGUUUGGUGGGUGGUUAAUGAAAUAGCAGGGGUGAAAUUGACCAAAGGAUAAUGCUUUUAACAGUAUUCCGGCUGGACUCUAUAUAUAGAAUUGCUGUAACAUACUUUUAAUAAUAUUUGAGUUUUUUUACUAUUAAGUUUAUAAUUUUGAAGGAAAAAUUAUAGAAUUUAGUUAAAUAAUGGUUCCCUAGAGUUUUGUAGGUGAUUGAUAGAAUAACAUAAUUUAAGAAAUAAAAUUGAUCAAAUAAUAAAUUUAAUGGUGAAAAACUUAAUAGCACCAAAUACUUGUACUAUUAAAAGUAUCCAAAUUGGACUCUAUACAUAAAAUUGUUGUAAAAUACGUUUAAUAGUAUUUGAAUUCUUUUACUAUUAAAUUUAUAAUCUUUGGAUGAAAAAUUAUAGAGUUGUGAUUACAGUGGUCUCUUAAGAUUUAGAAGGCGGUUGUUAAAAUAAUUAACAUGAUCUAAAGAGUAAACUUGAUCAAAAGAUAAAUUUAAUGGUGAAAAACUUAAUAGCACCGAGUGCUUAGUGCUAUUAAAAAUAUGGGUCAAAUGCAUACAGCUCCCUGCAAACAUAGCCAAUUGCGAAAAUAUCCCUACAAAACGGAAACUCCAUAAGUUGUCCCUGCAAAAGUCUUAAGUUAUGCAGAUAUGUCCCUCCGGUUAACAUCCGUUAGUGAUCUAUUUAUUUUUUAACAGUGGAUUCGUGAAAUGACCAUUUUACCCUCACAAAUAUAUCCCUCCAAAAGUUUUCCUCUUCCCUUCUCUUUCUCUUCCUCUUCGGAUCAUCGAAGCGGACGACGGCGGCGGCGGCGCGGGGUCGGGUUCGCCGGCGACGAAGAAGAGGGAAGAACGCCGGGGCACCGGAGCUCUCUACCCGGAGAUCGUCGCCCUCAAUGCCGUCCUCUCCCUCGUUGGCCUCCUCGGCCACGACAUCGCCGACAUCGCCGUCGACGUCGUCUCCCUCCUCACCGACCUCACCGNAUAUAUAUAUAUAUAUAUAUAAUUGAGUUAGAAUACUUUUAAAAGCACCAACUCCUUGGUUCUUCUAAGUUUCUAGCUCUUGGAUUUACUCCUUAAUUACUAAUACCCCUUGAAUCAAACACUAUUUUACUUACCACCACCUACCACCAUCAUCUCAACCCUGCAUCUCUUCAUCCAAUGGUUAAAAACUCAAAAGUAUCACCCCCUUGAUGCUUUUGAGAGUAUUCUAGCUUAACUUUAUAUAUAGAGUUGAGCUAGAAUGCUAUUGAUAGUAAACGGGCUCCGUUGCCACACAUUUAUUUUCGAUGAUGGAGCCUUUGAAUUGACGAUCAGCACCGUUUAACAUGAUUUAUACCACAUGAAGUGUUUAGAAAUCAAAUUUCAUAUAUUUUCGAUAUUGUUCUCUUAUCCAUCGAGUGGACACAAAAAACGAACGGCUGAAAAUAAAUAUUCUUUAAAAAAUGAUGAUAGGAGUCUUGUAAUCAAGAUCAAGAGUAUUGAUCUUGUUUUAAAUAGUUUAAAUAAUUUUCUAACAAAAAUUCAAUUGAUUUGGAUAUCUUUACGCCGUUAAACGAGAAAACGCAUCAUAUCAACUAUUAAAAUUAUAAAUUUUAAAAUCCUUUGAUUAUUAGGCAAAUGAUGUCUAAAAGAUUUGAAAUUUGAUUCGUAAACACUUCAAGUGGUAUAGAUCAUGUUCAACGGUGCCGAUUGUCGAUUUAGAGGCUCUAUCAUUGAAAACAAAUAGAUGACAACGGAACCCGUUUGUUAUCGAUAGCAUUCUAGCUCAACUCUCUCUCUCUCUCUCUCUCUCUCUCUCUCUCUCUUUUUAUAUAUAUAUAUAUAUAUAUAUAUAUAUAUCAAUCAAUCAUGUACUUCUCUAAUCAGAAUUUUAUUUAGGAAUAUUCACACACAAGUUCAUAACUGAGCAUAUCAAAGUUACCCGGUGAUGACUCAUGAAAGAGAAAGGAGAACAAGUUACAGAUGAUAACAGACACGCAAACAUUGUUUCAUACAAUCAUACUUAUCUGCACACAUCUGAACAGUAAGGUGACACAACAGUGCAUGCAUGUGGCCACCUCCUCCCCUACUCUUCUUAAUUUGCCCCUCUCCAUCUCAGUAACAUGAUGUAUACAUGUUUUAACUAUUAGAAAGGUUGGAGGCACAAAUAUAUAGAAGAGAAAUAUCUCUGAGCUUGUUGGAUCUCCGAAAGUGCACUUCUAGAGCAGCAGCAUGGAUAGCUUCAGCCUUGGCAUCAUGAACAGCAGCAGCUGCAGCAAGGGUUUUGUCACUUACCUUGUCGCCGCCUCCUCGAUCGCCAUCGCCUCCGCCUUCUUCCUCUCCAACCACCAAAGCUCACUGCUUGGAUCUCACGACCACCAACUUUCUCUUUCUUCGCGAAGCGUUCGAGUUUGGCCAGUGAGUGAUCAUCUCUUCUUCUUCUUCUUCUUCUUCUUCUUCUUCUUCUUCUUCUUUCUCUUCUUCUUCUUCUUCUUCUUCUUCUUCUUCUUCUUCUUCUUGUAAUUCAUUCUACAACCCUAUCUGAGGAGACUAUGUUACAAGCGCAAAGACCACGCACGGAUUAUAUAUAUAUAUAUGUGGGUAAACUUGUAUGUAUACAAUAUAUAUCUAUAUAUAGGAUUUGGAAUUCAACUGGAGGACGGUAGUGGCGACCGUCAUCGGGUUCUUGGGCUCGGGCUUUGGCACUGUGGGCGGCGUUGGGGGCGGCGGCAUCUUCGUUCCGAUGCUCAACCUUGUCGUUGGCUUCGACACCAAGUCCGCCGCGGCCCUCUCCAAAUGUAUGUAUGAACUUUAUUCAUGAUAGCAGUGUCAUCAUCAAUCAGCUAGUUUUCGCAUCUUAUUUUCUAUGCUGAAACUUCCGAAGUUUCUGAAAAUUUUUGAGCUAAAUAAGCAAUUCGUGAACAAUUAAUAUUACCCUAAUGAUAUAUCCUAUGAUAUGAAUCUCUGGUAAUUAUUAAAUAUUGUGUAGGUAUGAUAAUGGGGGCAUCGGCGUCGUCGGUUUGGUACAAUCUACAAGUCUCGCAUCCGACGAAGGAGGUGCCGAUCAUCGACUACAACCUGGCUUUGUUGUUUCAACCCAUGCUUAUGCUGGGGAUCACCAUUGGAGUGGAGCUCAGUGUCAUCUUUCCUUACUGGCUCAUCACAGUUCUCACCAUCAUCCUCUUCAUGGGUUAUUAGUCCAGCUUCAACUAAUUCUCUUAUUCUAAAUUUCUAUAACGAAAAACUUCAUAAACCGUCGCUAUACUAUAGCCUAUUUACAACUCACUAUCCUGUGAUUCAAAGUAUAGCACUUUGUUCUUUUGUAGUUUCUGAUUUAAUUAGGCAUUAAGAUUCUUUGUGAAUCACCUGAUGGUCAAGUAUUAUACUCUAACGCGCAAUUAGUGGUUAAUUAGUACUUACUUUGCUGCUGCUGUUUAUAGAUGAUUUUCUUGCAGAAACCAGAAAUAAAAAUUAUAGCAGAAUAAAAUGCUAUACUUUGAUCCAUAGGAUGGUAACAUAUUGUAAAUGCGCGGUAUGUGAUUGGACUUUUUUGUCUUCGCAUAAUUUACUCAAUACCUAGGAUUAGAUUUUUAAUGCAUGGUAAUUAAUUGGUACUGACUUUUUGUUAUUAUUAUUAUAUGCUAUUUGUGAGUUCAGGUACUUCCUCCAGGUCCUUCUUUAGGGGGAUUCAGAUGUGGAAGCAGGAAACCAUACUCAAGGUUGUGUGUUAGUAAUUAAUUGCCUUUUAUAUAUGCAUGUAUGUAUAUGUAUGUGUAUUAUUCAUUUCAUGUUCCUUCUUUUUUACUAUUAUAUGUUGUAUAAUUGCUACAUAUAACCAUGAAAAGUAAAUUGGCAAGAAUUAAAUAAUCGCGUAAUUAGUAACUUGUAUUAACCUUUGGUUUGUGCAGUUGGAGAGGGAAAAGCAAGAGGAGGAAAAAACAGAGAACAAUGAAAGGAAAGGUAAGUGAAUUAAACAGGUGUUGUGCACAUGACCAAUAAAAUUCAUGGUUUUCUCUUAGCUUCAGUUUUCGAUUAUGUCGAAACUAUUGCUUAAUUAUACCUAAAAGCUUAAGCCUUAAGAGAACGCCAACACUCCCUCGUUUGCGCGGACUUGAUAGACGUACGUAAUUGCUUCCGUUAAAUGAAACAAAAUUAAAUAUGACUAGGAACUCGUGGGACCGAUUUGAUCUUAGAACCUCCUAUUUUGAUAUUAUGUUAAAACAAUUGAUAUCUAAAGGCAUAAUUAAGCUAUUCGAGAAUGGUGUUUUAACUUCUUUUUUUUUUUUGUAUGUCUAUUUCGUAUCAUUCGAAGAAACUCUCUCUUUUUCCUCUGUUUUGCAAGUUUAAGCUCUUCAUCUUUUUGAAAAAUUAAUGCAUGAAAAGAUAGAUUAAUUAAUAUUGCAACUACAACAUUAUCUUCGCGUGCAACCGACUAUAUAUUGAUUUGUAUUGCCAUGUUUUGAUGAAUGCAGUGGUGAAUAUUAAACCCGAGUUCGAAGAACCACUUCUUCCUCAGCCAGCAGAGAAAUCUGGACUGGUAUAUAUGUAAAAGCUCUUUUUAAGCAAAUCUUUGGUACAAAAGAUAAAGAAGAUGUUGCAUUUAUUAAUUGCAUGAACUAAAAUUGCUUAAUUUUCUUUUCUGAAAGGAGGUUUUGUUGUUCAACAUAAAGUGGAAAGGGAUUCUUGUGCUGAUCAUUGUAUGGUGCUCCUUCUUGCUUCUGCAAAUCCUUAAGGUCUCUCUCUCUCUCUCUCUCUCUCUCUCUCUCUCUCUCUCCCCUAUCCCCUUUUGCUCGUCUUCAUUCACCUGAUAAAAUUGGUCCUCUACUAAGUAUCCGUUAGGAUCCUCAAUCUGACCGAAUUUCUACUUUGUCAGAAGAACUAUACUGAUCAACGCUAAUGAAGAUAGUUCAAUAGCCAUUUGAUUGCAGAAUCUAUGGGAUUGUAAAAGCUUGAAAAUUAGAUGACUGUAGUAGCUGGUUUUAUAUUCUUCUGGGUAACCACUUGUACGGUGUGUCACGAUGUCAUGUUAACUUUCUGAAAUCUGCUUCAAAAUGUCAUGGUCUUUUCCUUUUCUCUCGAUCCCUUCUCGGAAAAUUCAAACACUUGGUAGGGAUGUGGGAUGGAUAGUCGUUUGAAGGCCUGUUAAUAUNGAAAUGUGAAUCAACUAGUAUUCGAACUUAGGUCUCGGGUACCAACCACCAAGCCUUUUGUCAUUUGCUCUAGGGACGGUCGGUGAGCUUCUAUACUUUUAAAAGUAUCGAGUUAUUGAUACUUGAAUACUGUUAUACUUACAAACACUUGUUUAAUUGAGCUCCUAUGUCUUGAAUACUGUUAUACUUACAAACAAAUUUUACAACAUUAUAUAAACUAGUAUAUGUUACGGUAUUAAAUGCCUUAUAAGUCAACAAAUAAUAUUAAUAUAUCUAGCUAGGCAUUCAAAAAUUGUAAUAAUUCUCUAAGACCCUUUAAAUAUUACAUAUUAUAUUAUGUGUAUCCGACAAGUUGUUAAUUUUAGAAAUAUUUAUAUUAAAUUAUUUAGCACAACUUAUAAGAUGUACAGAUACAAUAGGUGGAAACAAUCAUUUCUCUUUCUUUUUUUUUCUUUUUUUUUUACUCUUUUUUUUUUGGGGCCCUCUGAGAGGAAUCUCAAUGAUUUUUGGUGUGGUUGCAGAAUUGGUCAGAAAAUUGUAGCAGCUUCUUUUGGGUGGUCAACAUUUUGCAGGUAAGCUAAAUCCAAAACUCUAAAUUGGAUAAAUUAUUAAUGAAUUAUCUCCGUACACAUUAAUCAAUUAACCAACUACUACAUAAUAUUGAUGUUUAAGUUUUUUAAAAAUAACUGUUAUUUUAAAUCUUUUGACGAAAUGUAUUUAGUUUUUUUUUAAUCAUUAUAUCUUUUUCAUUAUAAAAAGUACUUUUUUUUACUUUUAUUAAAGAAAAUUGAAGUAAAUAAGUCAUUUAUAUAUGAAGAGAUAAAAUGAUUAUUAAUUCUAUUUGUGAAGGGGUAAAAUACUCAUAAAUGGAGAUCUUGAAGAUUUAAGGUCUUUCGCAUGUUCAUUGAGCAAAAUCAAACACUGCACUGUGUAAAGUUAGAUAGAAACAUGAAAUUUUUAAAAGUUGUAUACUUAUUAAAAGUGCGCUGCUACAGAUAAGUUCUAUAUAUUUUUAUCUAAUAUUUAAUUUUGUGGCCCGUGGCCGGGUUUGUAGUUUCCAGUAGCGCUAAGUGUGUUCGUGUGGGAGGCGGUAAAGCUAUGGAGGGAGAGCCGGGAGCGGCGGAUGUGCGGGAAUUCAGAGUGCGUGUGCGAGGCGUCCAUCGAGUGGACGGGACCGCAGCUCCUCUUCUGCGCCCUCUGUGGCUUGCUAGGAGGGACCGUCGGCGGACUCCUCGGCUCCGGUGGCGGUUUCAUCCUCGGUCCCCUUCUCCUUGAGAUUGGUGUAAUCCCACAGGUAAAAAUUUGUUUCAUACAAAUAGUUUCUCUACUUCCGUGGUAUUGUGAUUUGUUAUUUGAACUUUUUACUUAAAUAAUUUACUCUAUAAUUAUUUCAUAUUUUUAGUUCAUAAUCGAAUGUCAAUUAAAUCAUGUACAAUAGUACUAUUUACACAAACCUUGCCUUGCAAAAUAUUUGACUAAUCGUAGAAAGAGUGAUUUGACUAAGCUAGGAAUACAAUCGUAUAAUGUAUUAAUGUAUAUAUAUGGAGUAAGGUAAGUACGCUUUUAAAGACACAGAGCUCUCUGUGUUUUCAAAUCGUUCUCGAUAUUGAGACUUUCAAACCAAUAAUCGAUUUCGUUAUACCUGAUCUAGAGUAUUUGAAAUGUAUGGAAAAUAAAUUUCGCAAUUUUUCGAUAUCAUUUGCCUAGUGAUCGGAGGGACUCAAAAUCAACAGUUUUAAUGAUCGUAAUGAGCCGUUUGUAAGUUUAACAGUGUAGAAAUAUUAAAAUUAUAUAAAAUUUUGAUAGAAAAUUUUUUAUACUAUAUAAAAUAAGAUUAAUAUCUUUGAUCUGAAAUUUUAAUGUCAUAUCAUCACAUUUUGUGAAAUUUUUAUUUUCAGCCGUUGAUGUUGAGCCCCUUCGAUCACUAGACAAAUGAUAUAAAAAAAUUAUGAAUUUUAUUUUUUAAGGUACUUUAAAUACUCUAAAUUAAGUUUAAUGGAGCCGAUCGUCGAUUCGAAAAUUCCAACAUCGAGUCGAAAAUUUCAACAUCGAAGACGACUUUAAAGCACGGAGAACUUCGUGCUUCUAAAGGCAUAUUAGCCUUACACGGUAUGUAUGUAGAAAAGUGCAUUAAUUAGGCUUAGUUUAGAAAAUUAUUAUUGUCGUAUCUUUUUUCAAUUUUAUAUGAUAACAAAACUUAAAUCCUAACAAGAUACAUUAUAUCUAUUUUUCUGUAAAUAUUAAAUAUUGAUCUGCUCAACUUUUUAAUUUAAAUAUAUAGCAUAAUGUACACCCUUAUUUUUUUAAAAAAAAAUCAUGUUCGUUUCUUAUCACGUGGUACAAUCUCAGCUUUGGGCUUUGGCUUUUUCUAAAAGCUAAAAUCCAAGAAGCUGGUUUGUCUAUUCCCAUCAUUGAUUGGCCGUGACAGCGAACCCAGCUAAGCAUUCAUUGGUUCAUAGACAACAUGCUCUUUUUUUUUCUUCUUUUUUUUCUUUUCUUUUUUUUUCGGGGGAGACUUCAAAAAAAAACAUAGGUGGUUUCGCACUUUUUAUUUUAGUAUCAUAUGAUUUAAAGUUUAUUAAGUACCAUGUGGUUUCGCACUUUCUCAUUUUAGUACCAUAUAGUUUAAAGUGUAUCAAGUUAGUACUCUGUGAUUUAUUUUUGUAUCAAGUUAAUACCCUAUGAUUUUAUUUUUAUAUUAAGUUAGUACCAUGUGAUUUUAUUUUUUUCUUAAUGAAAUAUUAAACCACAUAAUACUAAAGUGAAAAAGUGCGAAACCACAAGGUACUAACUUGAUACGCUUUAAACCACUGGGUACUAAAGUGAGAAAAUGCAAAACCACAGGUACUAACUUGAUACACUUUAAAGCACAUGGUACUAAAAUGAGAAAGAGUAAAAUCACAAGAAGGAUAUUUGAAGUUUUUCUUUUUCUUUUUGAGUAAUGCUAGAGGUACAUCUCAUUAUGGGUGUAAGAUCUACACCUCACCCAUCCAAAAGGUAGGAUGAAAGCACUAGUCACUUGAUGUGACUAGUGGACAUCACCCCACUCAUUGGAUGGGUGAGGUGUAGAUCUUACACCCCUUGACGGGCGUACAUUUAGCAUUUUUCUUUUUUUUUAACAUACCCCUCUUAAUUAUUAAGUUCCCCUUAUUCCAAAUGUUAUAAAUGUGUCUUAGCCCAUUUUUUGUCAGAUUAAUUUUUUGAAUAAUAUAGUAUCAGAAUCAGUUUUAAACUUUCCUCUAUAUAUAUAUAUAUAUAUAUAUAUAUAUAUAUAUNGUACUAACUUGAUACACUUUAAAGCACAGGAUAGUAAAAUGAGAAAGAGUAAAACCACAAGGAGGGUAUUUGAAGUUUUUCCUUUUUUUAACCUACUCCUCUUAAUUAUUAAGUUCCCCUUAUUCCAAAUGUUAUAAUUGUGUCUUAGCCCAUUUUUUGUCCGAUUAAUUUUUUGAAUAAUAUAGUAUUAGAAUCAGUUUUAACUUUCCUCUAUAUAUAUAUAUAUAUAUGAGAAAUGCUUCAAUACACUAUAAAUAUUAAAAUUUAAUUUCUUAAUUAGUAAAAGGUAUAGUUGGGAUUUACAUAAAGUAACUUGUUGAACACGUUACUGAUUUGAAUUAAUUAACAUGACAAUAUUAGAAAAAAAAUUAGUAUAUACCAAAUUUGUCAGCAUACUUUAAAUAUUAAAUAUCUUAUUUACUUUGAUAACUUACCAAAUUAGAUGAUAUCCAAUUUAUUAAGUAUCCAGCUCAAAAUAAUAUUGAAUUUAAAUUUAAUUUUUGAAAUUGGUAUUGUAAUGUAAAAUUUUAAUUUUGAAAUUUAUAUUAAACUUUUAAAUUGGAAUCUAAAUUGAACAUUUAACCUUAAAGCCAAAUUUUAAAUUUUGAUUUAAAUUGAAAUUUUGAAUUGGAACUAAAAGUUUUAUUUUAAAUUUGUCUUUUAUAUUCAAAAAAAUUGAAUUUGAUUUAUAAAGUUUUAAAUGUUGUUUUGAAUUUAAAUUUACAGUUUGGUUGUAAUUUAAAAUUCAACUAUUAUUGUAGGUAUUUAAGAGGGUCACAAUAUUCUUAGUUGGAUAAAACCGGUUUCGUGGACCAAACUAUUUUACAAAGACUAAAAGUCAGGCUCAAAAAUAACGGAUAGGCUAAAUCCUUUCAAUAAUGCAUCAUUUUAUAUUUUGAAUUUGAAUAUGAUUCAUUAGUAAAGAAAAUCAAAUUUAGUAAAGGUAAUUAUGCAAAGAUGGAAUAUUAAAAGAGAAAGAUGGAAUAUUCUGUAUUUACAAUGAUGGUAUAUUAUGAUGAUGAGAAUUUACGAAAAUACCCUCAGUGCAACUCCAUGUAAAGAGGAAGUUUUUGCCUUCGGUAGGGGGGGUGAUCGGUACCGGUGACAACAAAAGCCGGUCACCCCUUUAUAAAAGAUGCAUCACUACAGUCCAUUUUAAAAAAUUUAAGCCGGUCACCCCUUUAUAAAAGAUGCAUCACUACUGUGCAUUUUAAAAAAUUUAAGGGCUAAGAUUUAUUUGGUGUAUAGGUGCAUUGCUAUAUAUAUAUAUAUAUAUAUAUAUAGAGUUGAGCUAGAAUACUAUCGGUAGUAAACGAGUCGUUUUACUACCGAUUUGUUUUCGAUGAUAGAGCUUCCAAAUUGACGAUCGGCUCCGUUAAAUAUGAUCUAAAUCAUUUAAACUAUCUUGAAAUCAAAUUUCACGCACUUUCGAUAUUAUUCUUUUAUCCAUCAAGUGAACAGAAAAAUGAAUACUCUUUAAAAAAUGAUAAUAGGAGUCUUGUAAUCAAGAUCAAGAGUAUAGAUCUUGUUUUAAAUAGUUUAAAGAAUUUUCUAACAAAAAUUCAAUUGAUUUGGAUAUCUUUACGCCGUUAAACGAGAAAACGCCUCUUGUCGACCAUUAAAAUUGCAAAUUUUGAAACCCUUUGAUCAUUAGGCAAAUAAUGUCGAAAAGAUUUGAAAUUUGAUUUCUAAAUACUUCAAGUGGUAUAGAUCAUAUUCAACGGAACCGAUCGUCAAUUUGGAAGUUCUAUCAUCGAAAACAAAUCGGUAGUAAAACGACUCGUUUACUACAGAUAGUAUUGUAGCUCAACUCUAUAUUUGUAAAAGUACCAAGCACUUGGUGCUUGUGAAUUUUUUACCAUUAGAUAUGCACCUUUGAUCAUUUUCACCCGUUAGAUUAUACUAUUCAACCAACUAACCACUCAACCCUAAGGGGGCCACAUCAUUCUAACUGUACAUUCCUUAAUCCAAGGGUCAAAAACUUACAAGCACCAAUGACUUGAUACUUUUAAAAAGGUAGGAGCUCAAUUCUAUAUAUAUAUAUAUAUAUGUUCUUGUGUGUGUGUGUGUGUGAAUUUUUUAAUUCUGUAUCUGCAAUUAUAUUUUGUGUUGACACCUAACAAAUAUAUACUUCAUGUUUUCAUCCUUAGUUACGGGCAUCAGUAACUCAUACACAUGUUUAUUAAUUGAUAUUUGGUUUCCUAAGCUUAACUUAUUUUUCUCCCUGAUUGUACUGCAGGUGGCAAGUGCUACGGCAACAUUUGUGAUGAUGUUCUCCGCCUCACUCUCCGUCUUCGAAUUCUACUUCCUCAGGAGAUUUCCCAUUCCUUACGGUACAUACGACAUUGUGAAGUAACCGUAUAUACAUGCGUGCGGUGUUUUAAUAUUUUAUAUUCAACAUACGAGCACGCGAAUAAGCAGAAUAUAUAUCCAAAUUGUUUGCAGCGCUUUAUCUAAUCGCGGUGUCGGUGUUGGCCGGCUUCUGGGGGCAGUUCAUUGUGAGAAAGCUGGUGAAGUGGCUGGGGAGGGCGUCGAUCAUCGUCUUCAUCCUCUCCUCCGUCAUCUUCGCGAGCGCUCUAAUGAUGGGUACGUUCAACAAAAUUACUCUCCCACCUAUUAUUAGUUAAAAUAAAAUACGACAAAGUCAUUCUCCAUCUGCUUAAGCUUUCUCUUUUACGAAAACAUAGCUGUUUGGCGUGGUAACAUAUGUAUAGAAUGAGGCCAAAAAUGGCUUCUGUACAUUUUAUAUUUUACACUACAGGGCACAUCUCGCCUUGAGAACUCAAGUUGCUAGAGAACGGUAGUUUGGUUUUUAAGACUUAUUUGCUGUUCAAUAUCUCAAAAGCUUUGUCGAGUAAUUUAAAUUCGCGUUUGUUAUACGUAAACGGGCUUCUAAUCUUCUGCUAAUCAUUUUUUUUUUCUUUUCCUUUUUUAAUUCAGGUGUUGUGGGCACUGAAAAGACGAUCUCCAUGAUCAAGAAGCAUGAGUACAUGGGAUUUCUCAACUUUUGUGAGAAAUGAAGGGAAAGGGAAAAAAAAAGAAAAGAAAUAGUAGUUAAUUAUCAAUGAAAGAAUGUGUAGGUCAAUACCUAAUUGACCUGACCUCUUCUUCUAUUCUAGCAAUAAUAUCUUGUAUGCAUGUGUUAGCUCCUCGCUAACCUGCAAAAUAGUUGCUCUUUACUCUACUAUUGCGAUUAUAAAACGAGUGAUUUGUUUCUACACCGAUGGUGCAUUUAUAAUAAAAAGUUACAAUUAUUUAUUUACUUUUAGCAUAAGUUUUAACAUUGUUUUUGCUUGAUGUGACUUGAAAUUGAUAAUCGAUUUUAAUUCAGGACUUCGACUAGCUGAUAGUUUCGUGGUGGGAGUGAUCAAUUUGAAAAAUAAGUUGUUGAAGAAAAAUAAAUUUCUGUGGUCGGAUCGAAUCCAAAACCCAUUAAGAAUUUUUCUUUCUCGUUUUUUUGCCCUAGAGGCGACAGAUUGUUGUUGGUUAUACUCGAAUAUUGUAUUCUCUUUUCGAUAGUAAAAUUUUCUGUUCUCACCCGUGACUUUUUUCCUGCAAAAAAUUUUUCCCGUAAAUCUAUGUGUUCUUUUUUAUUUCUACUUGUGGUUUGAUUAUUUUGUAUUCUCUACUUCGUUUCAAUUUGUGCGUUUGUCGCAACAGUUUUGACCAUUUCUCUACUCCGAAAGCAGAGAUCCAAGAAUUCAACAAAUAAAAGUACAUAUCUUUUGUUGUGGCAAGUAUCUAAAACAAGCUUCUAACUCGAAGACAAACUGUAUAUUUGAAGUUUUGAUCGUAACAAAAAGCAGUUGCAGGAUCUCAGUUCAAAACUGCUGGUGCUUCUUCCAGCAACAUUUAUGCAGAAGCCCCGGUUCACAGCUUGGCACUACUCUGGCACACUAUAUCGAACAUAUAAUAAUAAAAUUAAAUAGUAAAAUAUAAAUGAGUUGCGUAAACCAUCAUCCCUAAACUGCAAGAGGAAUUUGCAAAAGAAUACAAACAAAGAAGGUAAUUGCUUUUGGAGGACAAGCUCAUAAAUCAAAUCCCACAUUUGAGGAGGCGCACAUUACAUACACCAUGCAGUGAAAGCCUUCUUCAGGGAGGCCGCCGCCGCAAAGUGAACAAAUUUACAUCCCACACCUCAACUUCAGCCAACAAUCUCAUGGAUAUGUACACUGGAAAAAACAAAUCUACUUGGCACAUUUUCUUUUUACAUUUUGGGGAAUUCUCAAACAUUGACGCCUCUUGUUAUGUUAUGACAAUGACGACGACCAAGUUUUGGUUAACCGAUGCUCAAUCGCCUUUUGUACUUGCUUUGAACCAGGCUUAAGAGGAAGUCCGUGAAUAUGUGUUCGUACCCCGGCAUUUUACCAUAUCCUGCAUUAGGGACAGAGAGAAGCAUCAUCAGAUAAAAGAGGUUGGGGUUUGGACAAACAAAACAAAGGCUAGUCUUCUUCUUCUUCUAUGUAAAUUGUUUCUUCUUUCACUGAAACCAUGUUAGAUAAUUCUCAAGAAGCUCGUCUGCUGAUAGUACAUUUUGUCAGAAUUGAAUUUGCUUUCCACACUUUCUAGCAUCCUCAUCUUAAUUGUGAGGCCGCAUAAAAUAUAUCCUAAAAUUUCUAAGCUAAAAAAAUCAACAAAAAUGAACAAUCACAUCUCACCAGAGGCAGGGAAUGAUAAUCAUGUUUAAACCAUCUGGUAUUCCCAAAAGAAGAAAAAAAAAAAAAAUUCAAGCAGAGACGGAAAUAUGCAUGAAAUAAAUAACUAUUCAAAAUGAGAAACUAAUGAAUUAAUAAGUAGGUUCCACUUGCCAGGAAAGUAGUUGAUAUCAAUAACGUAGAAUCGAUCUCUUGUCCCAUGCUCUCUGAUUAUAUCUAUGUUGAAUAAUCUAAGACCCUACAUCCAUUUGAACAAAAAAAAUUAUAAAUAAGUUGUGAUCGUAUAGAUGCAUAUUGCAGAAGUACGAAUAAAAAAUAGAAAAGAAAAAAAUGAUCAUACUAGUCGACGGCGGAGCUCUCUAGCAAGCCUCUCAAGCAGUGGCCUUGGAGGAAGUUCUGUUGCAGAAUAACACAACCAAAAAAGGGUUCAAUUACACAACAAAAGAACGCUGAAGGUUAUUACUUUCCGAAGUAAAAUCGAGAGGCCAAAAAGUUGGAAAGAGAGCCAUUACCAGCAAUACAAGGAUCAAGGUCCGCAUCAUCUGCAUUGGCUGCAGCACAGGAAACCCUCGGAAACCGAAAGACACCAGCAUUGUUUAAAAGUUCACAUUUAUUAACAUCAGGAAGAGAAAACCGACGCACAACCUUUACAGCCUCCCCAACUAUAUAGACCUUAAAGAGAACACCACCUGUAUAGGCAAUAAAGUCUCAAAAUUUAAUGCGUGAUCCCACCAUUCACCAAUAUAAACAAAAUAAAAGGCUUAAUUACAAAAUUAGCCCCUUAUGUGUGAUUUGGGUUUCAAUUUCAUCCUCACAGUUUUAAUUGUGAAAAAUAGUCCCUGAAGUUUGUUCUACAUAAUGAUCAGGUUAAAUAGUUAAUCUAUCACCUAAAAUAGGUGCAGCGGCUCUUAGGCUUUGGCUUCUUAAAGUUUAAAACCCAAAGGACAAAAUCAAAACUCUUGGUAAACUUCAGAGCGUAAAUUACUCAAGUUGAAACUGAGUAAUAAAUAUGAAGCCAAACUUCACAACUAAAUUGUUACAAUUGAAACUCAAAGGGCCCAUUUGGUAUUGGGGUUCAAUAGGGGGAAAUAUUGCUUCUCCAACAUUUCACCCCCUGUUAUCUCUGUGCGGUGCGAAUUGUUACAUCAAAUAAAAAGGAUGAAAUGUAAAUCAAAAUCAAACUUUAGGGGCAAUAUUCGUAAUUGACCUAGAUUUUAAAAAAAAACAAAACAAUGUACCAUGAUUGACAAAUUCCUGAAGAACCAGAGGCGGUUCGAGCUUUGACAAGGAAGACUGAUCAUAAGCAAGAGACAGCUCAUGAGAUUUCGCACUACCGUCAACCACCAAAGGCUUGGCAACUGUAGGAAAACAAAAAGAGGUUAAUGCGUGAAGCAAGAAUUUCCUAUAGAAGAGUAGUUAAAGAUUAGUAGGAGAUACUUGAUGAAGGUUUGUACCUAAGGGUAGUGUUAGUCCGGCCUUGUUGACUGCAGCUGGUAUUGAAGAUGGAUCUUUAGUAAUAACUAAUUGGCUAGGGACACCAACUUUACCUGCAACAAUUUAAUCCCACAGCAUAAUCAAGUUCUAAAUAAAAUGUAGGUAGCCUAGUUUGAAAUUCUCAAAGUAUUGAAAGUUAAUGUACCCAUUUCAAAUUGAGCUAUAGAUCACGUAAGGUCACUGAAUUUAUACCUAAAAAGACAACCAGUUUGAGCUUCUAAUAAAGGCAAAUAAGAAUUAAUUUACAACAAUAUCAAUCUGUGAUUGCUUUUUCCAGGUUUUGGUGAUAAAUACUUUCAAAAUGUAAGAGUUAAGCUUAGAAGUUAAUGCACAAUUAGCAAUAAUUGUAGCUGGAAACAAGUUCCUUAAUAAGGGAAUUGCACACUGAAAGAAACUUGUCAAAGAGUAUUAUAAUUUGUUUAUCUCAGUUUGUUCAGACAAUGGCAAUUUGCAGAACUAAAAAAUAAUUUAUCCAAGAAGAUAGUAAAUUUACUAGAGAGUUUAUUCCAUCGUAAGUUAAAGAUAAUUUUGUAAAUUACCAUAACAAUCUGACAAAUUCAAGUCGGCUACUUCCUGAAGCAUCGAUUGUCUAUUGUGUAGAUGCUGUAUAGCAUCAGGUGGGUCAAGGACGGUCACUUCUGGAUGCUUUUCCCGAUAAUCCUUCAAGAGUUAAAAAUACAAAUGAAGGAAAAGAAAUAUAAGGACAAGAAUACAAUUCGAAAGGUGCAAACUAAAGAAACAUUAACAGAUUAGAGAACUCUAAAAUUACCCAACAGCAUGAAUCGAGAGUUAGAAAAACAAUACUUGUUUUAUUUUUUGAGUAUGCAUUUGAUACCAAAGAAACGGAAAAUGUGAUUAGCUAGUUAGACAAUUGCAUUCUGCAUCAGAUUCACUAUCUCAUUCGAAGGUUUUUGUUAAUCCUUUUCACCAUAGCAUUAAAAAGUAUGAUCAGUGGUUCAAAAAAGAACUUUUUCCUUGGACAACCAAAGGAUUUCAUUUGUAAUUUUGGGCUUUUGGAAUGAAAAAAAAUAUAUUGUUCAGUAUAGCUCUUUUGUUUACUUAAAGAGCACGUGAUAAUUGAUCGAUGGGGAGUACAACAUAUGUCUACAACCCUAUAGUAUAUACAGCCUCUAAAUCAUUGACUAGGAAUAUGAAAAAUAAUGAUUAUAAUAAUAAGGACCGAGCAUUUAGGGGUGCUAACAAGCAAAACAGGGUCUGGGAAUUGGCCAGAAAAGUGCCCAGACCGCCUUUCUUAUAAAAGACAAGCUCAGCCUUGAUCCAUAAAAGAUAAAACAAACCUAGCCACCUUAGCCCUCCUACUGUCCAAACCCAUCAAUUGAUAUAUUUCUCUGACAGCAACAAUGCUAGAGAUGUCAGAGAGAGAGAGAGCGAGCAAGCGAGAGAGAGCGAGCGAGAGAGAGAGAGAGAGAGAGAGAGAGAGAGAGAGAUUGGGGAAAGGCAUUAGCAAGGUCAAUGGGUCAAUAGUGGCCAAACAAGGUGGAAAGAUGGUAAUGGAGGAGAGAGCAUAGGGCGGGUAGCUUGCAGGGUGAGCCAAGAGAGGCGAAGACACCACGCAAGGACACUGGGAUAGCUGUAGGGUUUGUGUGGAGUUUGUGCGCACACGAAAGAUGGGUUGCAACACACAACAAUUGAGGGAAGCAGGAGAAGGUUACAGUUCCACAGCACCGCAGAGAGUCAGUGACCAAGAGUUCUCAGGUGGAGGUGCGAGGGGGAACAAACCUUAGGGUACACAAUGACAUGAGAUACAGGUAGGACUGUGGCACUGAUAAGCUACUUUAUGAGUAAUUAUCCAUUUGAAGUGGCAGUAAUAUCAUGGCAUGAGGAUAUAUGAAACAUAUUGAUAUAGUCUAGAAAUGUGCAAGAAAAGGGGCAGAUCGGGAUGUUUACUAACCUCUAGAAUUUGUUGCCAUUCUUUUCCAGUUAACUGCAGAAAACAACAAGAGAACAGAACUUAUUAGAUGAUAGUUGUUUGAUAGGCUAAACAGAUAUUACUAUGUCAAUUUUUCCUUGAUACUGACACUGAUACUGAGGGAGCACAACAAAAAAGGGGGGAAAUCCCUAAGGGAGAUAUAGAGAUCAAUGCAGCUUAUUAUCGAGUAAUGUAAUCUAUUAAAAAGGACAGCUCCCAAAUAGGGGCAACAACAUACCUUGUGCAGAACAAUAUCGAAGGGACCUUGUUCUAAAAGAGGACGGCUCUGGUCAAUAGCAACAAAUAGAAUCCCCUUCAUCCUGCACAAUAUUCAAUAAGGCACAUUUCGUCAAGCACAUAUAAGAUUUUUUUAAAAAAGGCAUCAAUAAACUCUAGUUCGCACAAAAGAAACACAAUUUAAAAUAUAUGACAGGCUUAUGAAUAAAGCCAGAGAAUCAAUUAAGAUGGAAUGAUGAAAUUAUCUAAACAGCACUGAUUACCAAAGAUUUCGAUAUAACAUCUUUAUCAUCUUAUUCAAGUAAGGUUACGUAUUUUGCACUAAAAAAGACAACAGUACGGGCAUUAACAAGAACAAAUUAAGAAAGAGGUAUCAAGAAAAGUAUUACUAGACAAUAUGUGAGAUGCUUAAAGAAUUAAGAACCUGCAAACACUUCAAUUCUUAUAACUGACUAUAAGAUAAUUCAAACAAACAUUAGAAGGAUCCAUUCCAAAUAAGUAGUCAAUACUUCUUCCCAACACAAACAUAAAUAUCCUUUGAUCUCCCUUGGAUGCACAGCCAUUUUGGACCAUGAUCAAUCAAGUGGUGACUAGUGAGGUGAAUGAAACUGUACAACUAUCCGGAAGGGGAGAAAGGAAUAUAUAUAUAUAUAGCCACCAGGGCCUGAAAAUCCCAAGAAGCACAGCACUGCCAACAGGUGUAAACAGUAAUAUUUUUACCCAUAAUUAACUGGCCAGGCUACUCCAAAAAACACGUGAAUGGUCCUAUUCUGGCAAUUCAAGACAGCUCUCAUCCCUACUAAAACCACAUAAAAACCCAAACGGCAACAAACUGAAGAUAACUUCUAUGAAAUGUAAAAUAAUAUCUCUAAAUGGACUAAAAUAACCUCUCAAAAACUUGCUUCAAAAAAAAUUAAACAAACUUUACCAAGUAACUGAAAUAUGGAAAAAAUUCGACCUAGUAAUAUGAGUAUGAACCAACAGGUAAAUAAAAAGCAGGCAAGAAGACUUUAGUAAAAGUGUAGUAAAAAAAAAGAAACCUGUAGGUCAUAAUGCACGUGAGUUCUUAUGGCAGGUUCCUGAUAACAACUUUAAUAAAAUUUCGUAGCAUCUACAAAUUACCGAGAAUUAACAAAUGAACCUAGUACAAAUGCUACAUAUUCUUUCUUCACUUGGCACGACUCAUCUGCAAUAUAACACCAAAUAGUUUACAUCAAGGACCAGAAAAUCAAUAGUUUUUUUAAGUCAGAAACCUGUCCUCAUCCUGGUGAUGUAUAUCUAGGAGAAUAUUCCAACUCAUCACCCAAAGUUCGCAUAUACAUAGAUUGAAUCCAAAGAUAAACCCAAGUGGCAAGUUGACAUAACCAAUAUACAAUACAAAUUUCCACACAGAGUCAACUAUAGAUAGAAAUAGGAGCUAUAUGCGUAAAGGAAAGGUUAAUUUAUUCACUACAAGACAUACUUUGCAAUAUAGACUCCUCACCACUCACCAGCUAACUUAUUAAACAACAAAAACCCUACCAACUGGUACCAAAAAUAACAUACCAUGAUCUUCAUAAAGAGGAGUUUAUAACUCCUAACCUAAACUUCAUCGAGUACAAUUAAUCCUUAACAAAAAAAGAUUCCACCUUUUAACAAAUAGAUUCCAAGAGAGGCAGGGCUUAUCUCGCCCAAAGAAUGAUGAGAUACUACAACCAAACAAUUAGCAUAAACAAUAUAAAAUGAAGAAGUAUUCCCCUGAUAUCUGGUAAAAACUGAUGUUAUUAAAAAAUAAAAGAAAAUAAGGGAACGAAGGAAAGAGUGAGGAGGAGGAAUCAAGUCGAUAAAGAUUGCAACUUUAUGAGGCGACAGGAAUUAAGACUAAAAAAAAAAAAAAAUCCUGUUUUUCUCUGCAAAAAAAAAGGGGAAAAGUUGCUGUUGUUGUUGUUGUUGUUGCUGUUGUGACCAACAAAAUUUGGGAAAAACACGGGAAAAGUAGCGAAGGAAAACCAUAAGCCAUUAAUUUUCCCUUCCCACACACCGUUGAUCUAUUAUGGCUACCCUAAACCGCGUAAAAAGAGGAAAAAAUUACAAGAUCGUAGAAAAGAUAAUAAAAGUGUACCAAUGAGUUUCAAAUGCAUCCUAAAGGCGAAAACAUUUCUGAAACGCCAUAGAAUUAUACCAAAAAGAAAAAAAAAAAAUAAAAAUAAAAAUAAAAAGUUACCUCGCCAACCCUUCCAGCUUCGGCUGCAAGAAGCUCUUCACCUUCUUCGAGGUCAGGGCGUAUCCGACGACGAGCUUCUGCUGCGGCGCCGGCGCCGGCGCCGGAGCCGGAGGAAAGCGAGAGGCCCUCUCCCUCUCGCUCUCCUCCUCAUUCCUGAACGCAAUCUCCCUGUUCAACCUCAUCACCACCCCCGAUCCCGGAGGAGAAAACCCUAAUUCCCGACCCUCGACCCUAACUCCGCACCGGCGAUCGAAACCCUAGAAACCGCCGCUCCUGCCCACCGAUCGGAAUGCGAGAACCCGCGCGGCGCCUCCGAUCGAAAGAAUCCGACGAAUCGCGUCACCGCAACGCGAGCUCGAAGAGAGAGAAAGAGAGAGGGGGACGCGGGAGGAGAGAGAAACGGGACGAGAGAGAGAGAGAGAGAGAGAGCGAGCGAGCGAGGCGCGGGGGAGCUAUUUGUAGCCCAGGGCCGAGAACACACUGGCCCGAAAUUACGAAAAGGCCCUCGCCGUUUUCGUUUUAUUUACUCUAAUUGCCAUUGGACCAAAAACGAAGUCCUUAUGAAAGCGAAAUGACGCUUUUGCCCCUAUUUGGGAGUUACUGUUUGAGUUCGUGCCUACAACCUAUAUCGCACACUGCUCCACGCUCUCCCAUGUUUUUUUCCAUUUUUUAAAGGCCCUAAUGGGGGACACGUGUCACCUCGGUUGGUGGACCGAAAAAGUGUUAUCCCUCAGUGGUGACAAAUUGGCCCCGGACCAGGUCCACCAAAUCAGCUGUAGACCACUCUCGGAAAACUCACCGCCUUUUUCCGGGAAGAAAAAUACUAAUUGUACACUUUGUACUUACGCCAUAAUUUAAUAUUUUAAAAAAAAUAAAAUUUAAAGUAUUAUUAAAAAGUUAAUUAGAUAACUGAGUAAAUCCUAAUUUUUAAGAAAGUAAAGUAUAAAUUUUAUAUGGUGAAUGUACAUAGAGCACUGAUUUUUAAGAAAGAUAAUUUUACAACUUUAGUUCAUUAAUAACAUGUUUUUAUAUUACUUAACAUAUUAUUUUUAUUAUCCAAUUUUUAGCUCAAGAUUGCUGGAUAUAUGGUAUGUAUUGAUUAUUUAUUUAUUCAAUUUGAGAUAUAUAUUAAUAUGAUUUUUUUUUUAGAAAUAGGUAGCACGCCACCUGCUUUGCUGAAAAUGUGAAUCAAUUAGAAUUCGAACUUGGGACAUCACAUAUCAAUUAUCAAAUUCUUUACAACUUACUUUAGAGACGGUCGAUAAUAUGAAUGAAUCUUAAUUAUUUCGCACGUGUACGCGGUUUUAAAUCGUUGAAAGGUAGAUGUAGAGGAGAUAAGCAACCCCAUCCACAGGUUGGUAGAUCCGAGUCCUACGGAUAAGCGCUAAUGCACCAAAGAAUUGAUGUACCGUUGUGUUACGCCAGUGGCGAAUCGAUUAAGCUGUUGCGGGAUUUUCUGGAAGCACUGGUCCACGUAAGCUGGUGCGCGCCAUCACCCUCCUCUGGUCCAAUUUUCGGCGCACCGGGCGCACCACGUAAUCAGCAUAUCCACCAAUUCCACUCCACUUUGCCCAGCAAUUCCCAGCUCCGCCCAUGCAUCCGGUGCACGCAAGAUUUGAAACUCUUGGCACGUGGCCCCGACGUUGCGUGUCCUUUCCGGUGUAUAAGAGCUGGGUAGGGCGUGUGGAGGACUCACACGGGAGGGGGAGGAAUCGCCGGUCCUUUUCUCCUGUUGCAAACUGUUAAUUAAUGAAACGCGGAGAGGGAAGCGCAUCGGAUGGUUCAGAUUCGGUAACUUGUUGCCUGCAACCGGUGUACCACGGCAUCCGUACACCUCACUCUAUAAAAAAGCCGUACUAUCUACAUGGAACGCACAAAUGGAGAGAGGGGGAGAGAGAGAGAGAUUGAGGAUGCGGUGUACGGGUGACGCGGUGCACAUGGCACACGAAAUUACUUUUUCGUUUUUUGAAAAAAAAUAAAUAAUUCGUUGGUAGUGGUGACAACAGUGGUGGCCACUGGCCACUCACCAAUCACCGGAGGUGUGGGAGACGAGGAAUUCUACACUGUCACAUUUGCACCACGUCAUCAAUAACAAGUCAAUCACAUUUCUUUUUUUUAAAUUAAAGUACAAUAAAAAUAUUUUUUUAUAAUUAUAAUGAAACAUAUAUACAUAAAAAAGAGAUAUUUGAUUGAUUUGUUACGCGACGUCACCAAUAUACCUCUUGCAUUCUAGAAUUUUUUUUUGUGGGAGACACGCGGGGAACCGAUCUUUUUUCAUGCACUGUAGCUUACCGGUUGAUAUUGUACCGUAUUAAUUUGGUCAACUUCACCUUUUUUUAUUUUUAAUUUUAAUUUUUUUCCUCUGCUUUUUUAGUGUUAAUUUGUACGUGUCUCUGUCAACACAGUAAAUUAUAAAUAUAUUCCUAUAAAAUUUUAUUUUUAUAUAUUGUUUUUAUAAAAAAUUUAAUAUUUUUAAAUAAAUCCCCGCCGUUAGAAUUCGUUAGAAAAUUUUAGUUAACCAUAUGUUAAAUGUUUAACUCUCAUUAAUUUAUGAGAUAGUUUGAUUUUUUUGCUCCUCUUAUAUUAUAUUGUUGUGGCUUUUAAAGAGACAUAUUUGUAUGGCAAAAUUAAUAUUUUUCUUAAGAUAUAAACAGUUUUAUAACGGUAACAAAUAGGAAGAAUAUAUUUGAAAAUAUGAGAAUUUUUAUAAGAAUAACAUAUGAAAGUUGAACUUUAUAGGAAUAUAUUUGUAAUUUAUUAUAUUUGUAAGGAUAUGAACUGAAAUCUUCGCCUUUCACAAAUUGGUCCUUCUCGCGUGAUUUAUGCCUUGUGGUCAUUAAAAGCCAUUGCAUUUUUAGGGUCAUUUAGCCCUAGUUUGAAAUUACAAUUCUGUUUUUUUAUUGGCAAAGAGGGAAACCCAAUAGAGACUAGAGAGGGACUAGAAUUUGAUUAUGUGUUCAUAUUGUCGAAGGGGCGAUAUCACAACGUCUUAUAUUCCAGGGGUCUCCAUACAUUUUUAACAAUUUGCUCUUACCAAUGUUUUUCAUUGGGUAAGAUCCACUCAACUUGUUGGAGAAUCAAAACGAAACGGAGAUAAAGGCUAAAAUCUUUGUCCUCAAAUAAACAUGGAUUAAUUAAUAACCCCUGUGAUGUGAUGGGAAUCUUAAAAAAAAAAAAAAAAAGAAAAAAGAAAAAAGAAGAGAAGCACCAAAGUAAAACAAUGUUGGAUAGCACACUAAUUAAGGGGGUAGGGUAGGGAUAAAGUUGUAAUAUUAACAAAAUUCAUGGGCAUUUUAGUAGGCCUCUCGUGCUUGAUUCGGCCUCGUAGCAUGAAGAAGAAGCAAAAAUAUUUGUGUUUCUCUAUUAAAAAUAGCCCUUGAAUUAGGUAAAAUUUAGAGAAUUUAUUUAAAUCAUAAAUUAUUUUGGUUCGAACAAUUUAAUUUAUAAAAUUUAGGUUUUGGUAUUCAAUUCUUUAACUUAUUUAACUUGAGUCAUUUGAUGGCUCAUUCGGUACAAAAUUUAAGUUGGUUGAUUACUUAUUUUAAACUAUAUAAAAACACUAAUAAAUUCUGUAAAUAUAAAUAGUAUAUUUAAAUUUUAAAAUUAAUACUGGUUUGAAUUAAAUAGUAAAUUCAAAAUUUAUAAAAGUUAGAUAAAAGAGAGUGGGAAUAAGUUCUAUACUCUUUUACUCUUGAAUUAUUUUUGGGGUUGAGAAAUAGAUCCCGUGCCAUUAUUUUUACCUCAUUUUUUUGGGUCCUACUAAAGAAAACACGCUACUAAACAAGGCCCAAAUAUGUUAGUCUAUUUUAACCAUUCAAUAAAACUAACCAAUACAAGAUAUUUAAUAAUUCAAUACAUCUCAAUUAUGAUUAAAAACUGCAGAGAAAUUUAAUACAAAAAACAACAUAAUUAUCCACUAUCUUCAAUCUUCAAGCUAUUUCUUUAUUGGCAUUAAAAAUCCUAGAAAAAAAAAAUUAUGAAGGGGCAACUGAGUUAAAUUUCUCAAAGUAGGUGCCUUAUUUUGUGAUUUUGAGGAUAAGAAUUGUGGAUUAGAUUGAGAACCCCAUGAACAAUAUAUAAUUUCCAUUCAUUCAUGGCGUACCCACUAAGCAUAAUAUUUUAGGAGUAUAAGUAUGCUCCACAUAGCAAUUUUAUAACUUAAUUGAAAUAGAUAUAUCUAAUAGCUUUAAGUAGAAGUAGGUUUUAGUCUCAUUUAAAUAAGCUGACUCCAUUUAAUUAAUUUCUUAUUCAGAUACUAAUCCCACUUUUAAGGGAUAAUUAUGAAAGGCACCGUUUUGGAGAGCAACGCUUGGAGUAUUAAAUUUCUUUUUAAAAAAGGAAAAAAAAAAAUCAGGUGAUCACACUAUAACCUCUACUUAAUGUUGUCGAGAUUAGAUCAAACUGGACCUAAUCCAACAGCAUUUUUGUGGUUGUUUAGAGUAUUUAGCAAGUGCUUGAUUGAAAGUGCUUUAUGUUGGAUUAAUAGGGUUAGCAUCCUGUCAUGUGGCAGAAGGUAAAGUUGGGCCGAAUUAUGCUCGAAAUGGCAUGAGCUCGGUCGCGAGUCAUAUUCGAAGUGGUAUGAGACUGAUUAAGCCGAGUCACAAUCGAGAUAAGUGGGUGUUGUACUUAUACACUUUAAGUGAAUUGAUUGCGUAUUUCUAAUACCUCGAGCUUUUAGAAUUAAUGAUUAGCGCCAACAAUUUGAUAAACGGCAUCAGAGCCAAAGGUCUGCACGGAUUCGAUUCUCGUAUACAGUAAAUACAUGCAAGUGUUGGAGAAAGAAUUGUUGAUUUAAUUAGCGCUAAUGAUCCGACACUUUAGAUUCUAGCAAAAAUGAAAAUAACAUGCAUUACGUGCACAUAAUCUAGGUAAUGUGAAAUAAAUAUAAAUAUUAAUUAAUCAUAGCACAUAAAUUUUUAAGACAUAAUAUUGUCCAAAAACACUUUAACUAGCAUUAUUCUUGUCACCAAUUGAUUGAAACACAUGUUUCCAUCACUAAAGUAGAGAAAAUGAAACAUGAAUAUAUGAUAAUGCAAUUUAAAAGGUGGAGAUGGUGAGGGUUCGUAAGCUCUAAACUGUUUCAUUGUCAAGUGGAUACUCAACAUUUCAUCUGCCCACAGAAUAGCUAUCCUCACUCCCAUCACCCAAGCCUUUUCCUAUCACAAUGGGAUCCAUCAUCAUCAACUAUACAUGAAUUAAAGUGUCAAAUGCAAGGCGAGUCCUUGCACUAUCCCAAUAUUGCAACUUGCUCAAUCCCUGUGCAUUUAAUUCAUUUAUAUAGUUUAUUUUCAAAACUCUGACGUACGUCGCAUUGAAUUUUAAAAUAGCCUUUUUAAAAUUCACACACAUGCAUGGCACAAGCACGAGCCAAGUCGAGGCGGGCGGGCAGGCGGCGCGCGGUUCAAUCACCCGAUUUAUUUUAUUUUAUUUUUUCUGUUUUUACGAUAAUGCUCUAUACGCCUCAAUUUACAGGUCUUUUCUAAUCAUUUUCUCUACAAUAUUUAUUAUUUAUUUUUUUUUCAAAAUUUUUCUAAAAUUGAAAUUAAACUUUCGAAUUAUUUUUUAAAAAAUAUUUUAGUAAAAUUUCAAAAAGAUUUUCCAACACGAAUUUAAUUAAUUAAAUAUAUAAAAUGCUUAUAGGCGAUCGAUCUGAAUUCAAAACUUCAACUUUUAAAUUCAAAAUCUAGAAUUAUUCCAUUGUUUUCUUUAAAAGUUUUAUUAGAGUUUAGUCGUCAGAUCUUAUAUUAGUUUAUUUGCUUAAAAAUAUUGAUUAAAGCGCAGAAUAAUUGUCGAAUCUAGUAAAAAAUUCUCAAAUUAUUCGACUAAAAUCAUUCAAAUAAUAAUAAAAAGAGUUGCCUAGCACUAAAAUUUAUUGAUUUUUUCCUUUUUUCUUUUCCUUUUUUUGUUUGUGAAUUUUUCACUCCAUCAAUAGCUGUGGACAACAAAAGUUCCUCAUUAGUAAAUUUGGCUUGUAGCUCCAAUUACUUCACGCAUAAGUCAUGAAAUUAAUAUGUAAAACAACAAUGCUUUCACACAAUCCAACAAAUAUAUUAAAUAUGGAUCCCAUGAAUAUUAAUUAACCCAUCAAUUUGAUCAAAAUUCAAUUCAAAUUAUUUAAAAUAUUUAAAUUUUAGCGAGCUAAUAGUUCAAUUAUAUAUCUUUAUAAUGGGAUAUAAAAUUCAAACCACUACAACUUUAAACCAACAUUAAACCAUCAAAUUUUAAAUUUAAAUUCAAAUUCAAAUUCAUACGGGUCGGCCCGAUAACUAUCCAUUAAUGCCACUAAUGUAAGAUAAAUAAUAAUUAGUUCUCUCAUUAGUUGCUUUCAAAUUACUUUCAUUUAUAAGAACUUUAUUCAAAAAAUAAAAGAAAAAGGAAAUAGUUGCAACCUCAUCUUCAUGAUAAAUCGUGAUCAUGGAAAUGUUAGCGUGGAAAAGAUCCUGGGGACUGGGGAGUCGCUUUCGAUUCAUGUUUUAUUUAAUUAAUGAGAAUCUAAGAGCCCUGUUCGUAUCAAAAACUGCAUAUUCUGAUCAAAUCGUAUAAAUUAUAUUAUUAACUAAACUGAUGUGAUCUACGAAACAAACUAGUAUUUUGAAAACAAACAGAAUAUUUUCUCGUCGCACUUUUCUAUCAUAGACGAACUCUAUAUAUCUGUAGUAUAAAGAUUCCAUCAUCCUCAAACACAGUUUCUGACAAACACCAACAGUUAUGGCUCGAUUUGUGUUACUGUGAGCACACAAAUAGAAAUGAAAAAUAACGACCACAAAGUAAAUAAACCACAAAACAGUAAAAUAAAAUGGAGCAUAAAGAUACUUGUGUGAAAAAUAUUUUGCAGAAAAAAGAUCACGGACAAAGAAAGUGAGAACUUCAAUAUAAAAAAAGAGUACAAUAUUGUGAAAGUACAAUAUGUUAUAUCGCGUCUAAAGCAAAAUAAGAAGGAAAUUUCUUAAUAAAUUUUUUUAUUAUCGGACUGAACCCUCUGCUACCCGCCACAAAUAUUUAUUUUUUUCUUCACAAAAAUUUUUUCAGCUUUAUCACGCCGUAAAGCUAUCGAUAAAUUAGGAAUAUAAAAAUAAAGUCGAUAAUCAAAUUUGGAGACACAUCUUUGGAUAAGAAAAUAUUAUAGAAAAUACUUAAUUCGUUUUAACAAGUGAUAUUAUAUUGUAUAUAUAUCAUAUAUCACGAGAGAGAAGUUAGUUAACUUGCUGGAUAGUACAGACUACAGAGAAGCGUAUCUGUAUAAGCUUGUGUCUCUUUUUGUCCAUAAUAUCUAAUGAACUCAAUACAUCAAAGUAAUAUAAGCCCAAUUUAUCAUGAGAAAUAGUGCUAAAGUGCUACAUUUUAGUGAUAGAAAUUGCUAGUGAAACUGCUAACUAAUUGACUCAACCAAAAAUAUGAUUAUGUGAAUAAGUAUUAAUGAAAACAAAUAAUUGUAUUCUACGAGAAAAUGAUAUUUAAUAAUUACAACUAUAAUACAGAAACAUCUUUUCAAUAUCGAUCCGAUAGCUCCAGUUCCCAACCGGUUAUUGUUCCAAAUUUUCAUCCACAGAUGCACCUUUCGAUGGAUUUUUAUUCUUGCUUGUAAUUAUGUUCACAAGCUGAAAAAGAAAUUUUAUUUUAAUUUUGUUAAUUUUCUGAAUAGAGAACAAGGAAAAGAGCCGUGCACUCAACCUCAAAUCCACAUUUUAUAUUUUGUUUGAUUUAUUUAUUUAUUUAUUUUGCACCACGGUGACAUGUUUGGAAUGUUAAUUUUUUUGUUAAGAUUCUAAUCCAAGUUAAAGAGAGCUUAAGUAGCUGAUGUGUAUGCAGUAGGUGCGAUAAAUUUGGUCAUAAUUAUUAUGCGAGCUAGUAACCUCUCAAUCAAUAACAACUUACUUUCUCAUUGGUUUUUGGAGUAAAAUCAGAAGCUCUAAACUGUAGCUUUUUUUUUUUUUGCCACAAAAUCAUAUUUCUGUCUCGUACGGGAAAUAGAAAAAAAAAAAAAAAAAGGUUAUGAUCCUCAAAACCUAAUGCUUCGAUUCAGGGCUUCAAAUACUAACGGUUGUUUAAUCGGCAUUGAAACAACACUUUUUCUAACAACACAGCACCUACGAACUCACACUUUGGGGUGUCAACGAGCCGAAUACGAGUGAGCUGGGGUGGCUCACGUUCAGCUCAUUUAAUAAACGAGUCGAACACGAACUGACUCGUUAAAAUAUUGAGCUGAAAAAUUCAGCUCGUUAAUAAACAAGCUGAAUACGAGCUGGUUCACAAGCUGGCCAACGAACAGUAACCUCAAUGAAUUAAAUUGGAUAUAUAUAAAAAAUUAAAUUUAUAAAAUCUUACUCAUUAAACUUUGAUCUAAUGGUUGAAACUUUACAUAUAAAUAAGUUUUUUUUUAUAAUUGAGCUCGCCUUUAAAUUUUUUUUUUUGACUAAAAAUCAAAUAAUAAAAAUAAAUACAUUAUAUAUAAUUAUUUGUUUAUAUAUAUAAAUGUAAAAUAUAUGUAUUCAAGCUGUUAUCGAGCCAAACACGAAUGAGCUGAACCUCGCUCGUGUUCGGCUCGUUUAUCAAAUGAGCUAAAAGUUUUAGCUCGUGUUCGGCUCGUUUACUAAACGAGCGAUUCUAUCUCGAGCUCAUUUCGAACUAAACACGAGUUGGCUCGCGAACAGCGAACUGGAUUGCCACCCCUACUCACGCCAUAUGAUGUGCCUUUCAUAAUGGGCCCAUUUUUAUUUCAGGGCCCAAAUCGAGAAGUGUCCCACCAUGUACUAUAAGCCGUAUAUGGGCUGGGCCCAUAAAAUAUGUACGACCCAAAUUGAUGAUCUGGUUCAGAGGUUGAGGCCCACAAAGCUAUCGAACCACUAGCUGGCUUCCACGUGUCCGACCACGCGUGCACGCGAGAAGAUCCGGGACGAAUGUCGCCCGCACGAAACCAAAUGAGUAAAAAUCGGCAGCUUCUGCCCCUUCACUAGCCUCACGAAGCUCCAACCCAGCUCGGACGAAUUUUCGUACAACCCAUCAUCAUCCAUCCUUCAAAUUAUUCGGUACACCUCACCUCACCUCACCGCCGUACAUUCAAAUUUAUUUAUUUUCUUGAUCAUAUUAUAUAAAUCAAUUUAGAUUAAGACCAUUAGUAUUUAUAAAUAAUGUUGACAAAAUCCUUAGCAGUUAAAGUUUAGUGAAAUAAUAUGAGAUUAAAUUCUAUAUUUAAAUUUAAUAUUAGAUAUUUAUUAAAUAAAUAUAUAAUUUUUAGAGUUGGUAAUUAUUUUACGCUAUUUUCAUGACGGGAGAUGUAAUUAAACAUUUUUUUUAAAAGUUUUUAAAAAAUUUAUUGUGAAUUUUAAAUUAAAAUUUUCGGGAAUAGGCAGCGAGUGGAAAUUACCCUAGAUACCGUCCAUAAUCACACAAAUCUGUAGCUAAUAAAUCGACGGUCAGAGCUUCGUCGGACGGUUAAGCAUACGAACGCCGUUGCAUCUCACCACUGGCAUCUUCUUCACUCCCAAUCCCUCCCACUCCUCCCCUCCUCUCUCCAUCUCUCCACCUCUCUCGCUCUCGCUCUCGCUCUCGCUCUCUCCAGGGUACGACCACCGCAGCAGGCAGUGACGGGAUCCUCUCCUUUUUUUCCUCCUCCAAACCCUAACCCUAACCCUAACCCUAGCUCUUACCAAAGAAUAGCAAAAAGAAAACGACGAUGGCCUCUCUCCACCUCGCCGGAUCACACCUCUCCCCCGCCGCCGCCGCCCUCCGCUUCUUCGGCGACCGCCGACGCCGCGGCAGCCGCCCGCUCCUCCGCGUCCGCUGCGUCGGCGGCGGCGGCGGAUCCAACGGUACCCGCUCCUUCUUCUCCUUCUUCUGGUUCUUAUGCUUCUUCGCGGUCUCGCUUCGCGUCUGUGGACAGUGUCCAUGAGAGGAUCUUGUUUGCAGGGGAGGAGCCACCGGAGUCGAUGUUCAUGAAGGAGCUGAGGAGGAGGGGUAUGACGCCGGGGUCGUCGUCGUCGUCGUCGUCGAUGUUGGAGGAGAGGGGGGCGCCGUACGCGGACGGGGAGAGCAAGGGGGCGUUGGAGGCGAAGGAACAAAGCGGCAGCGGCGGAGAAGGGAGGAGGAGAGGUGUGGCGGCGGCGGCGGCGGAGGGGAACGAGAAGGGGAUCUCGAGCCAGAGGGAGCGGUCCAUGGCGUUGAACAGUGAGGGCCUCGAGGUUCGUAGCUCCGCGCCAAUUCCCCCUAUGUUUACCUGCUCCGUUUCAUUGCGAAUUUGGUUUCGUUUCAUGAUAAUUGGCUAUUGCAGUUAUAAUAUAUGUGGACAUUGUACAAUGAUUUGCUUGCUUGACCUGUUAUAGUGUGUAUGGGCCAAUUACGCAAUCUUAAAGUAAUUCAAGCUUAGAUUGUAGACUAGAUAAAACUCUCUGCAGGGAUCAAAAGGACCUUUUUAGCCUUCUGUAAAAUUGUGAUGCUAUGAGGAGGAUUAAUUAAAUUGCAGCAGAUCAGAAUCUCCAAACCUUAGCUUCUGCUGCGGAGGUUUAGAUUCUUAUUUCAGUUUUUUCUGCUGUAGUAGAAGUUCUAGACAUUUCUAUUUGCCAAGCACGUUGCUGUAAGUGACUGUAGCGGAAAGAAGAAGUAGAAGCACAGUCAAACAGGGAUGAAAAUUCUUUUGGGCUGACUGCUUAAAGGGCAUCUGUUGAUUGGAGGCAGACAAAAUCUGGUUUUUGGUAUUGUCGUCAAAUAUCAUCUUAUCGGUCUUAGGGCUUUUUUAACCUAGCUUUUGAUUCGGUGGCUAUCACUUUCGUGCUAUUGAACAACAGGAAUAAAGUGAGAACCAGUAUCUAUUUAUAUUACCUGGCAAAUCCUUCUUUACAUUUCGCAAAUAUUAUCUCUUCUUCAGGAGUAGGGGGUGUCGUCUGUGCUCAGUGUUUUUUCUGAUGUUUGAUCACCGUAUGCAAUAUGUAUGAGAAUACCAUGACCUCUUACGGGAUCAAGUUUAAGGUGUCAAGUAUAUUAAAUUGCAACACCUAUUUGGUGUUGGUACUUAAUAUAAUGUGAUCGAAGUGACUAAGGUUGACAAGUGUCCUUGAGUUACAUUCACAAAGUUGUAUGACUUGCUUUACUUUGAAAAUUUGCUACAGCUUUUAAGGGGAUGUUUAUUCUGUUAAAACUUGCCUUAUUAUGCCAUUUGGAGCUUUAUUUUGGCAUAUUUCAAUUGAUAUAUCUUUAGUUUUUGUCUUCGAAAUCUCCUUGUAGCAUUUGGUUUAUGGUAUGAAUGUAAUAUUUCAUAUAAGCCAUUACUUGAUCAAUCUACAACACUCAUAGAUUUGAUCUGCUUCAUUCCUUACACGAAGUUACUAAGAUAGGCUGUGCAAAUUUGGAAAAUUUACCUUUUCUACAUGCAAAUUUGAAUUUGUGAAUAUAUAUAUAGAGAGAGGGUUAGGCUCCUAUGUUUUCAAAAGGAUGGAGGCCUCCAUAUUUGUAAGUUGUUUUCGAUGAUGGGACAUCCGAUUCGGCGAUCGGCUUUCUUAGGCAUGAUUUACGCUAUUAGAACUAUUUAGAAACAAAAUUUUAUAAUUUUUUACUUUGUUUGUCUUGUGAACGAGUAGCCUCAAAAUGAACGGCUGAAAAUAAAAAUCUAAAAAAAGCAGUAAUAAAAGACUAAAAUUUCAAAUCGAAAGUAUUGAUCUUACUUUUAAUAUUAAGUAGAAUUUUCUAUUGAAGUUUCAUGUAACUUGAAUUGUUUUGCACCGUUGAACUUACAAAUGUGUUACAUCGACUAUUAAAAUAGUCAUUUUUUAGAUCCUAAAUUAUGAAAUUUGAUUUCUAAAUAGUUCUAAAAGCGUAGAUCAUUCCUAACGGAGCUGAUCGUCGAAUUGGAUAUCCCAUCAUCGAAAACAACUUACAAGUACGGAGGCCUUCGUACUUUCGAAAGCGUAGGAGACGUACUAUCUCUCUCUCUCUCUCUCUCUCUCUCUAUCUCUCUCUCUCUAUAUAUAUAUGUAUGUAUGUUUCUAUGUAUGUAUGUUUGUAUGUGUAGAGAGAGAGAGCGAGCGAGGCUUGCCUCCGUGCUAUCAGGUCGUUUUCGUGCUAGGACUUCUGAAUCGACGAUCGGCUCCGUUAUAUUUGAUCUAAAGUAUUUACCUAGUGAUCAAAAGGGCCAAAAAAUCAACAAUUUUAAUGGUCGUGUUGAGUUGUUUGCAAGUUUAACGAUGUAGAAAUAUCGAAAUCAUAUGAAUUUUGACAAAUUUUUUUUUAUACCAUUGCUUUUUGUGAGAUUUUUAUUUUCAGCCGUUUAUUUUGAGCUCUUUCGAUCAUUAGGUAAAUGAUAACGAAAAAUCAUGAAAUUUAUUUUCUAAAUACUUUCAAAAACUCUAGAUCAAGUGAAACAGAGCCGAUCAUCAAUUCGGACUCAGCAUCGAAAACGACUUAAUAGCAAAGAUACUACCGUACUUCUAAAAGCACAAGCCGGACUCUCUCUCUCUCUCUCUCUGUGUGUGUGUGUGUGUGUGUGUGUGUGUGUGUGGGGGGGGGNGGCGUUGAAUUAACUAAUGGCCAUAGAGUCAGAGUAAUAAUUUUUCCUUUUCAGUCAUGAUGUAGCUGUAAAUGGAGUGUUGUUUUGGAUUCUUUAUUCACUUCUAAUUCUUCUUCGUGGUGUAGAAUUAAGAUAAUUUUCUUUUAAUUUGUGCAACUCCAUGCCAUCAUAUCCAUGUUAUAGCUAUAGCAUUUCUAUUUACAACACUGAUCUGUAUAUUUAUUUGCUCAAUUGCUAUUCUUAUUCCUAGAAUAUACUAAUGCAUCUCUUUACUUCAGGGUUUGAUCCCACGAGCAAAGCUGCUCUUAUCUAUUGGGGGGACAUUCUUUUUCGGAUUUUGGCCUUUGAUAGCAAUUACAAUUGCUUUUUUCGCAGCUCUGUACUUUGUAAGCCUUCAUUUCGUAUUCUCUACGUGUUUUAUGUGUUAGUUUAGGAAUUGAAGCGUCCAGGUGAAAAGUACAGGAACCAAGUCACAAUAAAUUUUAUAAAAUUGUUGUUUAUGUGAUUUGCAGUAUCUCGGCCCAAGCUUUGUACACGGCGGUAGCAAGAUGUCGCUGUCAUCACCGCCGUACAUUGAUCCAUCAACGCUUCUUGAAGAUGAAAAGAUAUCUCAGGUUGCUCCGCAUGUGAAAUGAAAGUUGCAUCAACAUCUAUAGACAGCUCCUCAGGUUCACACUAUCUUUAUCUCUACCUCUAAUGUUCUCCAUUCUGUUUGUUGUAAAUGUGAAUCUAGAUAUAUACUGAUUAUUUGGGGAAAUGAUAGUAAAUAUAUAUACAAUGAAUCUAAUAGAGUAACCUGUAAAUUGCUAUUUGUAUUUCCAAAUGUGUCUCUUUGCUAUGGUCUAUAUAACAGUUUGAAUAGUUGUGCUGCGUUCAUUUGUUGGUAUUGUACACUUAUCGUAAGGCACAUGAUGCAUCUGUUUAUUGAAUUUGAAAGGUACUUCAACAACUUUUAAAUUAGAAAUUGUGGGAAUGGGUCUAUUGUGUUCAUUUAUUCUUUCUUCUUGGCAACAAUAUAAGGUGGUAAAAACAAAAGAAAACAUUUGCUAUCGAGUGAUCAUUCCAAAACUUGGUUCAACAAGAUGAUGCAUGUUGGAUUCGACUAUCCUGGCAUUUCAUUUUUAAAUUUGUAUUUUUAUAAUUUUAAAUUAAUAUUAAAUAAUAUCUGGAGCAAGUGGGAGUACUGGACCGGGCCGAAUACAUGUACGAUUUCUCUGUAGGUUUAACUAUAUACUCUCUUCUUUAAAGGAAUUGGGCCUAAUACUGACAACUACUACUUUUUGUUUUUCUUAUUAGUGGCCCCUUUUUUCUUACUUGUAUUAAUUAGUUUUUAUAGUAUUUGGCCGAAAGUUCGUUGGAAAAAGAUCCCGGACUCUGGGAUAUAGGCAAAAAUGUAUAAAACUUAUCUGAGCUAUACCCCAUUUUGAUUCGACUACCUAAUAUUUAAAAGUUUUAAUUUUGCUACCUAAUCUUGUGAUUCUUUUUGAUGUGAGCCGUUUGAUGGCUUUUUCUAUUUCAGAAUUUUGGUGUGCCAUUUAUUUUAAUAGACAUAUCUAAAUUUUGCAACUAAAGAGCCAUCAAAAACACAGCAGAAUCCUGUUUGGCCUAACAAAUCUAAAUGCUUAUGUUGUUAUGUUGUUGGUGACUGAUUGGUGUUUAAGCUUAAAUUUUGACCGACAACCACUGAGCUACACUAUUAACAGCAAUAAUGAUGUUUAGUGGCUUCUAUUACAUAUAUGUAAUAUAAUAAUAUAUGGUAACCAACUAUCUAACUAAAGCAUGUAUGAUGAUGUAAUAUAGAGUGUGACAUGGGAUACAUUGCAGCAAAACAAGUAUAAUAUCUUCCUACGUGGUGUUGCAAUUAACCAGCUUUUAAGAAUUAUGCUAGACUAAGUGUAGAAUUAAAUGGUAUACGACUAUAUGAGAGAUUAUUUGAAUCACUUGGAUUGUUGGUUAUGAGGAUGACACUUUUGAGGGACUACGUAAAAAAUUAAAAAGAAAAGGAGGGGGGGGGGAGGAGAGUGGAAUCUAGAAUUUUUUUGCUAAUUUAGUUUUGUCACUAGGCAGUCACAUAAUAUUGUAUUAGUAUUUGUAAAUUCACAGUAAAAAUAAUUAUCAAAAUUAUAUUAUUUUUUUUGAAAAAGAAUUUUAUGAGGUAAUAUUCAAUAUGACACAGAGUGUAGCAGAGAGGAAUUUUCCUCAGAGUUUGCUAUUUUCAUCUUCAUAAGUUCUAAAACUUAUCCCCAGCUUAAUGAAGUGCAAAUCAAAUUAAAUUAGAGCACACCAUUACCAUUGAGAGGAUAAAAUACUGGAGUUCACUUACUCAAAAGGGAAUACUUGUUUACACUUAAUCUCACCUCACCACAAGAUAAUUAAAGGGUUUCUUAAUCUUUUCUUUCCAACUAUUUUUACUAAGGAGCUUCCUAGAAAAGAUUUGGAAAUUUACUCCAUACUUUUGCAUAUAAAGUUGAUUGUUUUGAUCUAGUCUAUUAGGUCCCUCCAAUCAGGAGGAAACACAUUAAUAUAGCUUAAAAAAUUCAUAUGAUGUGCCAAAAAUUCUCCAUAAGUGGACAAGUGUUACACAUCUAGUGGUUUGGUAUAGGAAUGACUUGGUGAAUUAAAUGCAAAAGUCUCCUAUUUUUUCGGGUCAUAUGACUAUGUGAGAGAUUGAUUCAAGGAACAUCACUAUCUAUGGUGGGGUAGGAAAGUGAUUGUUUCAAUUAAGUUAUUCCUUAAAAUUACUCGAGUAUCUCUAUUGCUUUUCACAACUAGAUCACCCAAUCUCUUCUUAAUGAAAAGAAUUAGAUCUUCAACCUCAUCACUCCUCCACAAUUAGGCCCGUUUGCAUACCUCUAAAAACGUAGCAUAGUUAAUACUACGCCGGUAGGAAAAUAAUUCUAUGAAGCGUUUGGAAAAAAAAAAAACGACGUAAUUUUUAGUGUAUAUUAUACUAUACUUCAAAAAAUAGAGUAAAUUUAUAAUCCACUUUAACCAAAGAAAAAAAAUUCCACCAUUUUGGCUCCCAAAGAUGUAUCAAUUUCUAAAUUUUAAAUUUCAACAUAAAAUUUUAAAUUUCAAAAUUUAAAAUUUUAAAAUUCAAUUUUAAUUUUGACUUUAAAUUUCAAAUUUCAAAUAUCAAAAAGUUCAAAUAUCAAAUUUCAAAAAGUUCAAACUUCAACUUUCAAAUUUCAACUUUCAAAUUUCAAAUUUCAAAUUUCUGAAAUUUCAAAAAGUUCAAUUUUCAAAUUUCAAAUUUCAAAUUUUAACUUUCAAAUUUCAACUUUCAAAUUUCAAAUUUCAAAAAGUUCAAAUUUCAACUUUCAAAUUUCAAAAAGUUCAAAUUUCAAAUUUCAAUUUUCAAAUUUCAAAUUUUAAAUUUCAAUUUUAAAUUAAAAUAUCAAAAUUUAAAUUUUUGUGCAAAUCUCAAAUUUAAUAUUUAAAAUUUUAAUUCAAAUUUCAAAUUUUUUAAAAGGAAUUUAGUAAAAAAUUAUUAUUAUAUGCCAACAUCAAAAAGAUUUGGGCAAACUUCAAAUACCCUUUGUGGUUUCACACUUUCUUACUUUAGUAUCUUGUGGUUUAAAGUGUAUUAAGUUAGCCUCUGUGGUUUCACACUUCCUCAUUUUAGUACCUUGUGGUUUAAAGUGUAUCAAGUUAAUACCCUGUGAUUUUAUUUUUCUCUUUUUAUUAUCCAUUUCACUAAUUCUUUUGUUAAAUCAGUGAUAAAGUAAAAUUAAAGGAUAAUAAAGUGAAUAUUCGAUAAAUCUAGAUAGAGUAUAUGAAGUUUUUUUGUAUAUAAUUUAAUGAAAUAUUAAUGGAGAAAAAAAAAAUCAGCGACAAAGUUAAAACUAAAUGGUAUUAAAAUAAAUAUUCGAUAAAGCUAGAUAUGAUAUUUGAAAUUUUUUGUAAUAAUUUAACGAAAUAUUAACAGAGGAGCCGACGAAAAGAGAAAAAUAAAACCACAGGGCACUAAAUUGAUGCACUUUAUACCACAGGGUACUAAAAUAAGAAAGUGUGAAACCACAUGGUACUAAAUUAAUACACUUUAAAUCAUAGGGUACUAAAGUGAAAAAGUACGAAACCAUAGGGGUGGUAUUUAAAGUUUUUCCAAAAGAUUUUGCCGAACAUGUUUACAGAUCCCUUCAGAAAAAAUCACUUUUCAUCUAAAUUAGUCAAAUGCUCGACAGCUUUUAUUCAAAAUUGAUUCUCCAAACCAAAAUCAAUUCUACAGAAAUUAUUUUUUCAAAAUCUAAACCAAACGGCCAGAGGACAUAACAUACUUGUUUUCAAACCCAUUUUAGCUCUCUUUUUAGUAAAAAAAAAAAAAAAAAAGAGUGGGGAUUUUCUAUCAACUCAAAUUCAAAAUAAAUGAUCACUUAGAAAGUUGUUGCUUCAGCUUACGCCAUACCAAUUUUUCAUAUUCCAUUUUAUUUCUCAUCAAAAGUUACACACAGAAUAGUAAAUGUANUUUUUUUUUCCUUUUGAGAUAUCUUUCCACUAGGAUACAACAAGAACAAUAACAAGAAAAGAGAAUUAAAGAGCCAUAACAGAGGAGGAUUUUUAUGUGUAGGACCCUCAAAAAGGACCCCCUCUUCAACUUCUACAACAAGGCCUGUUGAUUCCUCAGUGUGAAAAGGAGCACCAUUUUUUCCCACAGUCAAGCUUUUGGGAAGAGUGAUUGUUUGAAAUGAAGGCAAAGUGGUAGGUUUGAAAAAACUCAAAACACCUCCAAGGAAAAAGGGCAACAUAGGGUUGGGUGGGGGGAAGGAAAAGGAAUAUGAAAAGUCAAACUCCCCUUGAUAAGCCCUCAAAAAAAGAAACCAAAAAAAAAAAAAGGAGAAAUGAUUAUUCUAGCUUUAUCACCCAACCUCCCCAAUGAACAUGGUUAGUUAAUAAUCUCAACCAUGCAAAAACAAGAAAAUUGGAGAGAUGAGAGAGAGAAAAAGAAGAAAAACCCAUGUAUAUAGCAUGGUCAAUUAUCUCCACCAUGCAAAAAAAGAGUAGGGAUCAGAGGUAGCUAUGCUUGUUUUGUUUGAAGCUCCUUCACAUGAAUUGCUUGAAAGCCAUGUUCAGCUUCUUCACAAGAUCCUUCACAGUCAAAGAGAACUCCUCUUCAACCUGCAUAACAUCGAAACAUAAAGGAAUUUAAAUGCCAUGCAUACAAAUACUAUGGGGCACUAAGAAGUGCAUUUGAAUGUCCAUUUCUAACUUGCCUGGGCCAUGACGGUGAUAUCGAGCGACGAGUUAGCGAAGGGAACGACGCUCGUGUUGACGAUCGAAAGAUGCAGCCUCUCGAUCUCCGAAAGCGCUUUCACCAGCACUCCCUUGCGGUUCUCGCAAUGGAUCUUGAUUAGCACGGCUUUCUCCGAUAUCUUCGCCUCUAUCUCGGGCAGUGAUUGGCCGUGUUGGUGAUCGCCGGAGCUCUCGUCGCACGACGAACUAUCGUCGUCGGGGGAGUACCGCGACUUCUUCACGAGAACGGCGGAUUCGACCGUUCUCUUCGCAGCCUGCUCCUCAAGGGUGUCUACUUUCUCCUGCAGCUGCUUCAAAUACUUGAUGGCAUCCCCAAGAACAGAAGCCUUAUCCAUCUGCCACAAGAAGAAGAUUCAUUAACCUUCUUGGAAAACAAAAAAAAAGAAAAGAAGGAUUAUUAAAAACUCGCGAAAAAAAAACGUUACCUUCUUGAGGCCAGGAACAAUUGCAGAAAGUGCAAUGAAUCUCUGGCUGAGCUUUUCGCGGCGCUUCCGCUCGGCUAUUAUAUGUUCCUGGUUAUGAGAAGCCGGUCGAGAAUUCGCGCUCGCCUUCUUGACGCCGUGAAAACUCAUUGCCUCAUAGCUUCUCUUCAGGCCAUGAGGGACGUUAGAGAACUCCAGCUCCUCCUUCGGCUUCACGGUCGCGAGGAACUCCGAAUACAGGCUCGGCUCGUUCUUCCGCGAGACUGGCUUGCCGAACGACAGGAUGGUCGGGGACGAAGCGUCGGGCGCGGCGGCGGCGGCGGCGGCGGCGGCGGCGGAGCUGCGGUCGGCGGUCAUGCACGAGUCCCAGCUGUUGGUUUUCAGCGCCUUCUUCGGCCUCUCGGGGGGCUUCGAAUUCGCGGCGGAAGCGGAGUGGAAGGUGUUCGACACGGCGGCGGCGGCGGCGGCGGCGGUGGUGGGUGGAUGGUAGGAAUUGGGGAAUGAAUUGGUGCAGCUCUCCGAGGAGAGGGAUUGCUGCAGGUCUUGAUCAAACUCCGCGGCAAUUUGCUGUGUGGUGAAGUGAUCCAACUGGCUUGUCUCCCACUGAUGAAAGAACAUAGGAUCUUCCAUUCCCUGAUUCACAUAUACAUAAUUAGAUCCAACUUAUGAGGAUGAUGAUAUUAUGCGUGGCAUCAAUCAUGUGGAGUUUUGAAGGGGAUUAUUGAUCAGAAUUUCCUUACCAAAUCGGCGAACCACCGCGCCGCGGAUGCUUCCAUUUGUAGAUUGAUUAUUUCUCCCCUGUUUGAUGAUUUAUAUAGAUACGAAAGUAGAUCCCUGAUUGAAUAAGAAAAGUAUCAAGUUGGUGUGAGGAAUCAAAUGCUGCUGUAUAGUGGGAAAUUUAAGAUCAACCAAGAUGAAGAGGCUUUUGGGUCCCUUUUCUCCAUGUCAAAAUUGUACUAGAAAUAAAAGGGGGAAAGGAAAUAUGAGAUUUUGAAGAAAUGGAAGAGAAAUUGAGUGACAAAAUAAUAAUAAUAAUAAUAAUAAUAAUAAUAAUAAUAACUGGUCUUGUUUUCAACCAAGUUGAUGUUGGAAUAAACCCUAGGAAAUGCACAAAAUUGAGGGAUGUUACUAAGCAAAAAUAUUGGUUAAGAGAAAGGGAGAGGAGACCAACCUAUGAGAGGAGGGGGAGGUCCCUUUCCUUUUGUCAAAGUAGAAGAAAAGGAGAGUCCUCUCUCCUCUUAUAUACACAAGUGGGGAAGAGCCCUCUUCUUUGAGUGUUUGUUGGUGUUGAAGUGGAAUAUCCCCCCUCCCCCAAUCACAAUAAGAUGGAGCCUUUCCCACUUCAAAUAAUUCUUCUUUUUUUUUUGCCAACUUAGUAUCAGGAUGGAUAAUUUUUUUUUCCCAAUUAGGUGAAUAAUGCUUUCAAGAAAACGAUGAACGAUUUACUGUUCUCUAAAUUUUCUAUUAAAGCAGUGAAUCGUUUAUCCUUCUUUUGAAAAUGGUGAAUACUUCACGGCUUUUAAGAGGUUUCUAGACGGCACGAUAAAUUUUUGGUAGACAUUUCAAAUUUCAUUCACAAUCACUUUGUACGAUUGUCAAAAAAUAUUAGGCAAGGACACUUGAUAGAAGACACUUUGGUUGAUAACCACGAUUUUUUUCUGAAAACUUAAAUGAGGUACUUAAGAGAGUUCAUGCUUUAUCUAUCACGGUUUUAGACGGCGUGGGGGACAUAUCCUCCAACAAUUUGGGCUCAUGAAUUUGAAAUAUUUAUCGGAUUUAUCGUACAAAGUGAUUGUGAAUAGAAUUUAAGGUACUAACUGAAAAUUUACUGUACCAUCUUUUGUUAAUUAAGUAUGUUGCGGAAAGAAAUCUUUUAAAAGUGAUGAAUUUUUCACAACUUUUUUAAAGGCGGUGAACGGUUCACUACUUUAUUAAAACAUUUAAAUAUAGUGAAUCGUUCGCAGUCUUUUUGAAUACAAUGAACGAUUCACCAUUUUGGACAAAAUUAUCUACUGUGACGUUGAAUUGACAAAAUGAGAAUUAUUUGACUAAAUAAUUUUUUAAAAAAUAUUUAAUUAAUUAUAAAAUUUGUCAAAAUUAUUUUAAAAAAUAAUUUUAGCUGCGCUCUUUCUCUCUUCCUUGAGAAAUUCUACAUUGUUACGUUUGCAGCAUGCCAUCAAUAACAAGUCUAUCACAUUUCUGCUUUUCAAACAAAAGUACAAUGAAAAUAUUUUUUUAUAAUCGUGAUGGAACAUAUAUCUCUAAAAAAAGAUAUUUGAUUGAUUUGUUACACUACGCCACCAAUAUACUCGGUACAUUCUAGAAUUUUUUUUCUUCCUACCCUAAUUUAAGGUGUAAUAUAGGGGAAAACUCAAUAACAAUUUUUAAUUUUUUAAAAAAAUCCCUAUAAUCAAUUGCAUCCUGUACUUAUGUGAUGGGAUUCACUGAGAGGGGGCAUUUAGUAUUGAGGACUAACAUCAUAGGAUAAGAUCGCACGUAUAUAAGAAUAUAUUUUUCCGUUUUUUAAUGACAAUAUAUACGUAAAUUAUAAUCUAAUUAUUCAUCAUAAUAUGUGCAAUUUUAUGAUACUUAUGAAAAUAAAUAAAAUGUUUUCUAACAAUAUUUUUCUCACACACAUUAUAUAAUUUACUUUCAACAUAAUCUAAACAAUAUGUAAAAAUACGCAUAGACUAAAUUUGAACUAUUAACACUAUAGAUUCGAAAUGUUUUAUUUGCCAAAUCAAUAAAAAGCGGGGUCAAGAUCACCGCACAUGUCAUGUAUUAUUAGUUAGAUUUUAUUUCAUAGAAAAUAGAAUUAAAUGCAUCUGAUACUUUUUUUAUUUUUUAUUUUUAUGAGAGAGAACUUAAUUUGUUCUCUUUCUCUCUCUCUCUCUACCUAAACUAAUAGAUAUUCUAAUAAUUAGAAAUCAUAUAACUGUGAUGACAUCAUGUAGGCCUCAGCAAACCAGUUUGAGUGUUUGAGUGUUCCUAUUUUUUUAUAAGAAAAAAAAAAAAAAAAAAACUCUUAUGGUGGACACAGAGGUGCAUCAAUAAUGCUAGUAAAAUAACUUCAUUAAUUACACCCCCUCAAAAAGAAAAAAAAAAAAAUCAAACUUUUAUCCAACUGGAUACAGAGAUGAUGCCCCAGGAUAUUCUUAGAUAUAUGGAAUAGUGAUUAUGGCCUCAACACAUUUGAGUACAUCUCAUCACCCAUUAGUUUUUUGUUUUUUAUUUUUUAAUUUGGUGGGUUAUUACUUAUUCAUUCAUUUUUUAUUUCUAUUAAUGGCCUCUAGGGAAGUGUUUCUCCUUGUGAUUGGGAAACUUUUACUUACAUUUGAAGUUAGGUAAUUAAGAACUAAUCAAUUCCUAUCCAAUAAUAAUAAAUUUAAUCACUUGUCUUCUAGAAACAGGUAUUAUUAUUUUCAAAAUCUCCCUACCAUCACGUUGUUUAGCCUCUGUAAACGUUUAUUAUAUGCAACAAUUUUUCGGCAAAAAUUGCUAAGCUCUCACAGAACCUGCGUAAACUUUUCGCAAAUCAAAUAGUAACAUCAACUUAGAGAUCUUAAAGAUAAAUGAAAAUUUAUGCAACUAGCCAUCAACUUGAUUAAUGUAAGCAAUUAUUUGUUAGUACAAAGUAAUCUUUUACGCGGACAAAGUUCUGAAGCAAGAUCAUGUUUCCUCUCUGCUUUUGUGCAGCUCUAUUCUUAACACAAACCUAAUUUCUCAGAAACAAAAGCUUAUAGAUUAAGUUGAUUGUAUUCCUGGUUUAGUAGUUAAAAGAAAGGGCAAUAUUGAUAGGUAAGUAUGCAUGAUUGUAUUCUUGGUUUAGUAGUUAAAAGAAAGGGCAAUAUUGAUAGGUAAGUAUGCAUUUUUUAUUUUUAUUUUUUUUUGAGAGAGAUAGAUAGCACGCUACUCACUUCGUUUAUUUCAUUUAAAAAUAAACUGAGCUGAAAAUGUGAAUCAACUAGGAUUCGAACUUAGAACCUCGGAUACCAACUAUCAAACCUUUUGCCACUUUCUCUAGAAACGAUCGGUGAUAAGUAUGCAUGUUGGCCUUGUAAAAGUUUGCCCUAGAUUUAAUACUAAAUGUUCCAAUAUUUGUGAAAUAUAUUACUUUUUAAUAUAUAUAUAUAUAUAUAUAUAUAUAUAUAUAUAGAGAGAGAGAGAGAGAGAGAGAGAGAGAGAGAGACUACUAUACUUUUAUGAGUAUUGACUCUUUUAUACUCAUAAGUUUUUGACCCUUAGAUUUAUUUCAUUAAUCAUUUUCAUCCGUUAGAUCAUACUAUUUAAUCAACUACCCACUCAAUCCUAGAGAACCACUAUCAUUUUAAGUGGGAACCACUAUCAUCCUAACUACACAUCCCAUUAAUCAACAGUUAAAAAUCUAUGAGUAUAAGGGGGUCUAUACUCAUAAGAGUAUAGUAGCCGCAGCCUAUAUAUAUAUAUAUAGGCCAUGGCUAUUAUACUAUUAUGAGUAUUGGAGUCCUCGUACUCAUAAGUUGUUUUCAAUGAUGGAGCUUCCGAAUCGACGAUCCACUCUGUUAAAUAUGAUUUAGAGUAUUUGAAACUUCUAAAAAAUAAAUUUCGUAAAUUUUCGAAAUCAUAAUAAAGUCCAUCAAGUGGGCAUAAAAUGAAUAGUCAAAAUCGAACGAUGUUCUAAACAAGGAUGAUCAGAUCCUUCAAUUCAAGAUCGGAGUUAUUGAUCUUUUUCUAUGUAGUGAAUAGAAUUUUUUAUCAAAAAUUCAACAAAUUCCGAUUCUUUUACACCAUUAAACUAACAAGUAUCCCAUACCGGUCGUUAAAAAUUGUCAAAUUUGUGACCUCUUGAUCGUAAGGUAAAUAAUGUCGAAAAAUUAUAAAAUUUGAUUUUUAGAAGUUUUAAAUGCUGUAAAUAACGUUUAACGGUGUGGAUCGUCGAUAUAUAUAUAUAUAUAUAUAUAUAUAUAUAUAUAGAACUAGGCUGGAAUACUAUCAAUAGCAUAAAGCACUGGUAUUAUUAGAUUUUUAUCUCUUGAAUGAAAAAAUGUACGGUUAGGAUGAUGCGGGA
rnacentral:lncRNA from 1 species